rnacentral:lncRNA from 1 species
AAAUACAAGGGUACUUUGCUUAUGGCGGUCGCACAGGACGGCAACAACAAUGCCUUUCCCAUUGCCUUUGCUUUGGUUGAAGGUGAAACGACUGGUGGAUGGGGUCCCUUUCUUCGACAUCUCAGAACGCAUGUGGCUCCACAAGUCAAUCUCUGUUUGAUUUCUGAUAGACAUGCUGCCAUUGAGAGUGCCUACAACAACUAUGACAACAGAUGGCAUGAUCCUCCUUCUACCUAUGUCUAUUGCAUUAGACAUAUUGCACAAAACUUCAUGCGUGCAAUAAAAGAUAAGAAUCUUCGCAAGUAGGUGGUGAAUGUUGGGUAUGCUCUAACUCAGCCGUCAUUUCAAUAUUAUCGUGAUGAAAUUAGACUGUCUAAUGAAGACGCGGGAAGAUGGUUGAAUAACAUACCAGUAGAGCGGUGGACAAAUGAAUUUGACAGAGGUUGUCGAUGGGGUCACAUGACAACAAACCUUGUGGAAUGCAUGAACGAGGUAUUCAAAGGAAUUAGAAAUCUGCCAAUAACCGCCUUGGUAAGAUCGACCUAUUAUAGGUUGGCUUCUACGUUCACAACCAGAGGUGAAAGAUGGAGUGUGGUGUUAAUGUCUGGGCAAGUAUUUAGUGAGUGUUGCAUGAAAGUCAUGAAAAAGGAGAGCAUCAAAGUUAGCACACACGCUGUAACAGUCUUUGACCGUCAUAGGCAAAAUUUCAGCGUCCAGGAAACAAUGGACCACAACGAGGGGAGACCAAAUUUAGCCUGUGCUGUUAGACUAAAUAGAAGUUGGUCCGACUGUGGAAAAUUCCAGGCCUUCCGCAUUCCUUGCUCCCAUGUCAUUGUAGCAUGCGCAUAUACUCGUCAAGAUGCUUACAGUCAUUUAUCUGAUGUGUACAAGACUGUCACCGUCAUGAAUGUAUAUAAUAAAAGCUUCUCGGUGCUACCAAUUGAGGAAUACUGGCCUCCAUACGAAGGUGAUAUAGUUUGACACAACGACGAGAUGCGUAGAAAGAAAAAAGGAAGACCAAACAACACACAUAUCAGGACAAAAAUGGAUUCGACAGAUAAAAUGAUAAGAUUAUGUAGUAUCUGUCGUCAACCAGGAGACACAAGAACAACUGUCCCAAUCGAGGAGCAUCAUCUGAGUCAUAAGCUUUUUGUAACAUUGUAUUUUUGUAACCUUCAAUUAUUAUAUAUCAUUAAUUUUUUGUUAAAACGAGGUUCACAACAAACAUCAGUACAAAAUAAGCUAACUGAAAACAGAAGUAUUUCUAACUGAUUACAACAAUCAAAGUGAUGUCAUCUCGAUCGAACAUCAUUUCCCUAGCAUCCUUAUCAGUUUUCAUUCGCACCUAACCAAAGAUACUAUCGAGUCUCUCAAUACUUUUAAUUUUUCCCCUUCUGGUAUUUUCCCAUCUAACCAACGAACCAACUCCCUCUUCAGUUGAUCAAACGUAGUGAUGUUCUAGAAGAGCAUCAGCACCUGAGGUUUGUCUCUCGCAUAAAUCACAUUUCCGUAUCGGCGACGAACACCAAACAUGAUUGCUAAAUGAUGAAAUGAGAUGUGAAAAAAUGAUUCACACAACACAUCUAUAUUUAUAACAAAAAAAAAAUUGUACUUUACACUAAGGUGUCAAUCCAAUUGGCAUCUUUUAUAAAAAUACACAUGGGCGCCAAUUGGAUUGACUGCACCAUAUUCCCUAACCAAUCCAAUUGGCGUCUCCACUCUAUUUUUAAGAGGAGUCGCCAAUUGGAUUGACGUCUCCUCCUAAAAGUGGGGGUACAUUGAAUUUUUUUUAAAACUAAAAUUAUUUUGAGAAUUUUCUUAAAAAAUUGAGUUAUUUUGAUAAAAAAAUCUCAAAAUAAUAAUCUGAAUCCCUAAGCAAUCAAAGUGUAAUGCCUUUGGAUUAAAUUAUAUUCAUGCUAAUGAGAACUUUUUCGUCACAUGCUUGGAAAUGAUGAUACAUAAAAAAAAAGUUGUACUUUGUCUGCAAAUAAAAGGUAGUUGGAAAAUGGAACCAAGUAUUCUCAAUUUUUUUCUUCAAGUUAUUAUGAAAAUUAUUACAAAUCAACACUCCUAAAAGUUUAGCUCAGCAAUUCCUACUGUGUUAUUUCAUUUGUACAAUACUAUUGCAACAUGAAAACUUAUCCAAAGUGAAUAAAGUGCAAUAAUAUCAAACAUCCUUCCAAAUAAUUUAUCACAGAAUAUCAUUCUCUUCAAUCAUGAUUUUGUAUUUUUUUUUAAUACGAAGCUCUCGAUUUUCUUGGUUAUGAAGGGUUAGUCUUUCUUCUUCGAACAUUCUUCCGCACACUUACAGUGGCUUCUUGGGUUUCGCCUUCAUCUUUUUGUACUCGCUGCUCAUUGCUAACAACAGCUUUUGGUUUUGAAGUAUUGAUCUGACUUCUCAACCGCAAUAUUUCACCCUUGGCAGAAGCCAAUUCGUCUUCCAAUUUCUUCCCUCUGCUCUCUAAACUCUCUCUUUCUUUGCCAAGUCUAGUGAUGAGGUUAUGAGCAUCUUCAAUGUUUUCUUGAGCUUCCUUGCUUGCAUUUCUUUGUUCUGUAAGGUACUUGGCAAGAACCUCUUUCUCAUUUUCCAGGCUAGAAAUAAGAGAUUUAGACCCUUCUAGCUCAUUAGAAAGGAUCACCGAGUUUCGGUUCAUUUCAUCUAGUGAUUUGGUAGCUUCCUCGAGAUCCAUUUCAAUAGUUUUCCGCGACUCCUUGUCCUUCAAGACUUGCUUCUUCAAAGCUUGUAAAUCUUUGUUCAAAGAAGUAACUAACUUCUUUUCUUCCUUCAAAUCCUCUGAUGUGGCUUCAGCCUUUUUGUAGAUCUCAAUUAAUUCUCUUUGUAACGUAUCGCGGUUUUCAAGAGUAGCAGUUAGCUCAUGGGAUGUACUCUGCAGCUCCGCUUCUGCUUUCCUCAAAUGUUCCUUUACACUCGUAAGCUCGUUGGCCAGUUUUUCUGCCUCGAGAUUCGCAUCAUCAAGUUUCCGCUGUAGUGACUCCUUAACUUUGGUGAGCUCGGCUGAAAGGUUAGAGACUUGAAGCUCAAGCUCUUUGCGCAGAUUAUUUGACUUAUUUAGCUGUUUUUCCAGUUCGGAAGAGUCAUUUCUUGAAUUUUCAAGAUUCUCCAGAGUGACUUCAAGUUCAUACUUCAAAUCAUUCACUAUUUUAGAUUCAUUCUGCAGCGACUCCUUCAAACCUUCUCGUUCUUGGAUCAAAUCAGCGAUGAUUACCUGGUUUUUGCUCGAUUCAUUUAGGGCGAGUUCAAGUUUAUCCGUUAGCAGAUGAAGCUCGUCUUCUUUUUCUUUUAAAACCUUAGCAUCCAAAACAGUCUUCUUUUCAGAAGUUAACUUUAGGUCAUUGUAAUCCUUCUCCAAUACAUCAUAUUCGCUCCUAAAGUUAUUGUUCUCGAGAGUUAAGGCGUCAACUCUCGAAUUUAGUUCAACCAACAAGGAAUCCUUUCCUUCUAGUUUCUCUUGGCUUUUCAGUAUUUCAUCUUUCAACCCUUGAAUAUGCACAAGAGCAUUGGAUAAUUCAUCCUUGGUUUGGUCAUAGGUAGAAUUCAAAUUCCUCAAUUCCAACUCCUUAUCUGCAAGGGAUGAAUUCAGAUUCCAAACGGCAUGUUCUUUAUCCUUAAGGUCUUCACUCAGCAGAUCAAUUCUUUUCUGUAAAAUUUCAAUAGAUUCUACUUUUUCUUUCAAAUUGUUUUCAAGGUCUUUCUUAGCCGUAUCGGUGUUUGAAAGGUCAGUUUCAAGCCUGUCAAUUUGAAGUUUAAGCUCGGCAAUCAAACUUUUCUCGCUUUUUAGCUCCUUUCCCAAACCGGUGACAGUACUCUUUGUAGAAUUUAGUUGAUCAAUCAGUGCAUUCUGCUCUUCUUUUGCUUUUCCAAGUAGCUUGGCUUGCUCCUCCUGUUCAUUUGAUAACUUCAAUUCGUAAUUCCUCUUCAACGAAACAAUCUGCUCUUCUUUUUCCUUCAGUUUGUUGUUCAUCUGUGCACAUUGGCCAGUAAAAUAAAACAUAAAUACUAUAUAUCUUUCUCCGAAAAAAUACCAUCUAAAAUCAAACUAGAUAAAAAAGACCAAUAAUUGUUAAAAUUGGACUUCAAAAUUGUAAGCAAAGCUCAAAAUAGUCCCUCAUUUUUUUCGAAUUGGCAAUACAUCUCUAAUAUUGUAAAAUGCCAGUCAAAAUAGUCCCUCUACUAACUUUGACAGUUAACAAUGAAUGUUAACCAAUGAAGCACGGAUACUCUAAAAUCUAUGACGUGUCGUCUUCGAUACGUACCGAUACACAGAUACGUCACCGAUUCGUAUCAAAGGAGUAUCCAAUUUUUUUAUUUAAAAAAUUAAAAUUUCCGAUACAUACCGGUAUCACAGCGACACGUCUCCGAUACGCUACGAAUACGGCUAGUUUAUCUCAUGACUAUUCAUAUUUCUAGAACAUGAAUAAAUCUUCCUCAACCUUAAUUCUUCUUUUCUCAACUUUAAUUACCUCAUGACUAUUCAUAUUUCUAGAACAUGAAUAAAUCUUCCUCAACCUUAAUUCUUCUUUUCUCAACUUUAAUUACCUCAUCACUUUCAUUUUUCUAUGACAAAGAAUCAAAUCUUUCCUUUGAUUACUUUUCUCUUAACUUUAACUAUCUUUUUUUUCUUUCUCAUAAUUCCUUUACCAAUUACUAUCAAACUUUGCAAAUUCAAUUGGUUCUUGUUAUAGAAUGAUUUAACUAAUGUUUAGUUUUACUUUUUUUUAUAUGUAUCUUAAAUGUGGCGUAUCCUAGAUUUUUCAAAGACCGACCUAUCUCCGUAUCGGAUACGUUUCGUAUCCGAUACCCUUAAUAUAUUUGUGUUUCAUUGACAUUAAUCAAAUAUGUGCCCCUUCCAUGUUAAAUUUUACCAUCAAUUAGUAAAUGCACAAUUUCAAUUACUAACAAAUUUGUCUUUUAGACAACCUAAAUUUCUUUCGUACAUUAGCCUUCAGCAAAUUGGCAGAGCCUCUAACAAUAGAAAUUUACAGAGAGACCAUUUUGAGUUACACUUUCCAAUUCCGGAGAUGUAUUUGCCAAUUUGUAAAAAUGAGCUUCUAUUUUGACCAAUGUUUACAAUUACAAGAACCAAUUUGCCUAUUCACUCCAUCACCGUCCCUCUAGAAUUAUGAGAAAGGGAGGAAUAAUCCCUCAUUUCCCUCUUUAACCAUAUGACUUUACUUAGAAGAGAGACAUUCCUCAAAGGCCCAUACAUGUGAUACCAGUUUUCAAGAAUCAUAAAUAAAGUACAUAGAAGCUUACUGUUUCGAUUGUUGCAACAGCAGCAGACUUUUCUUUCUGAGAGAGUGCAUAAAGAGCACCCAACAGACCAGAAGAUACAAUUCCAAUUCCAUUCAGAAGAGUCACUAAGGAACUUGAUGGUUUCUGCAUUUCAGGUGCUGUCUGUCCAUGGAAGCAUUAAGUUUAGAAUACAUAAACAUACAACCAAAGGACAAAAACAGGCAAAAAUUUAAUUUAAUAUUUAAAAUUUGCAUCAGAAUUUAACAGCAAACAAACCUCUGCUUGCUUUUUAUCCUCUGUUAUCUUCACCUCACUUUCUUCUGAAAGUAGAAUGGAUAAUUACAGUUACUAAAUAUAAGAACCCUGUGAUACUGUCUGUCCUAAGCAGUUUGAGAAUAGUUGCAAAUUAUAGUCCACAUCCCAAUAUUAAAUAUGAGAAAAUAAUAUGCAUUGCAAAAACGUGGUGUGAAAAAUUUAAUUCUUCCAACUAACAAAGAAAGGACCCCAAGAAUGCAUGCAAUUGCAAAUACAUAAACAGUCCCAAAAGGAAAAUAUGGAGAUCUCCUUUUGACAUAUGGAGCUCUAAUAGUAUAUCACAAUAUAGCACAAAUCACAAUCGUGAAUUAGGGUUACCAACUUGUAAGAUGAAGAAUGCCUCCCACUUAAAUAACUUUUCAGGUCAUAUAUAUGGUAGCCCAACGGAUAUUGGAUAGACUUUAAUACCAUAUUAAAAUUUGGUUUUGGUUUGUAUCUAACUCAAUCUUUAUAAAAAAAUGGCAUGUAAGGUGCGAGAUGCCUCCAAAAUGGCGCACCAUAAUUUAAUGACAGAGCAUCUCUCAAGUAUAAGCCAGAGCAUGAAUAAAAAAGUAAUACAACAACAACAACCAAGCCUUAUCCCACUAAGUGGGGUCAACUACAUGGAUCAACUUUCACCGUGAUGUUCUAUCUAAGACCACUACUAAUACUUAGUUUGGUUUGCUAGUAAUAGUUACAUCACCCGUCCAAAUUAUGUGUCUGAUUUAGAUCUCUCUAUCAAGUUAUAGAAAUGGUAUAGAUAAUUAAAUGUCUAUUAACAUUACCAAUUACCAGAUAAUAAUCCGCACACACUCAACUUUUACAAAUUAAUGUAACACAACACGACUUUUUUUAAUGAAAUCCAAGCGAAUCCUCUUAGUGGACAAUCCUAUUUGAGGCUGAUAGAGCAACAAGAGUAAGACCUCUCUUCAAAGGAUUUAUUUUUCACAAAGGGUUGGACAAAAGAAUUACUAGUAAGGAAUAGUUUUGUGCACAUUUUGAUCACUUGCGGACCUAGACGAACUCUAUUAGGUACACAUGACUUAGUUUGCAAUAAACUAUGAAGCACGAAUAUAGACAUGGGCAUCGGCCACGGGACAAACACUCCUAAUGUUCAAUAUAUAGGACAUUGACAUCUAGAUAUAUAUAUCAAAUUGAACUUGAAUAUCAUCUAUAAAAUAUCUAAAUUUAGAAUCAAAAUGACUAAUAAAAUGUUUUAAAAUAUACUGCACAAAUGCUUAUUUUAACAUUUUAGAAUGUUGACAAAUAUAUAAAAAGCAAAGAAACUGUUGAAGACUAACUUUCAAACUAAGUCAUCAUCAAACUACAGCUAAAAUCAUCAAGUAACCAAUCAAAGAGGUACCUGGAUUUGCAGAAGCAGGUGAAGAUACAGAUGAGGAAGAGACAACGUCUGAGAGGGAGACAUUGAGACUAAAGGUAGGCAACGGGACAUCGUCGGAAAGCAUACGUUGUCUGCGAAUAGAGCGGAGACGUCGACUGCGAACAGGGUCCCGAGAUGAAGGAAGCCGUUGUCUACGAACACGAGAUGAAAUGAAGACGAGGACUGGAAAAAAGGCAAUUAUGAGACCGGAAAUGAAGAAUAGAAGAUGGGAAAUUGGGAAAGACAGAUGAAAAACCAAAGAAGAUGAAGACUUCUAUACAAGGGACAUAUCAAAUGCCAAACUAAAAUACUGUUUUAUAACUUUUAAAAGCAUUUUUUGUUUGUUUCUGUUUUCCUAAAACAAGUAGUUGUGUCUACUCUCACUGGAUCAAAAGAGUAUCAGGGGAGUGUUGAAGCCAAGAACACGUGUAGAAAGAAUGUGAAUGUCCAACCCACACCAACGUGGACCAAACAUGCGGAUAAUACGCCUAAACCCAAGUGUGUCAUGCUUCAUAGACGAUAAAUAAUACUACCUCCAAUCUCUAACUACAUGGAUCAACUUCCACCAUAAUGUUCUAUGAUCCAAGACCAUACUCCUAUCCAAAUCGUUAAUCUCGAGAUCUUUCUUAAUAACUUCCUUUAAAGCUUUUCUAGGUCUUCCUCUAUCUCUAACGAUUUGACUCCUCUCCAUCUAAUUUACUCUCCUUACCACAGAAUUUGUACGCCUUCUCUAAGGUAUAUAAGAAAAAAUUACAAUCAUCACCAAGACCAAGAAGCUUAUUUAUUAUAUAAAGUUGAAAUCUUAUCCAUUAUAUACCCUUGGCAUCAAAUGCUACACAUUAAUUGAGUUUCUAGUAAACAUUUUGUUCAAAAAAUGUUACUAUUGUUAGGGUAUAAAAAGAAUUCAAAGCAAUUAAUGCAAUUGAAAAAUGAGACAAAAAAACAAUUUUUUUGUUAAAAUAAAUGCUUAAUAUGUAAUAAUGUCAUAAUCAUGCAAAUAGAUCGAUUAACCUAACUCUAGAACGAGAUACACUCUCCCUCCCCCAUCAUCGGAAACAUUGAUAUGAGAAUCUCCCCAACCCAAUCAUAAUAAUAAUAAUAAUAAUAAUAACAAUAAUCAAUUGGUGCAUAAAUAGAAAAUAAAGUAAUUUGAAGAUUGAAAUGGAAUAAACAUACUUGGGGAUGGAAUGAUUCCUUCAAGAGCAGGGGCGGUGUCGAAUUGGAGAAAGGGAAGAACAACGACACCCAUGAGAAGAAAUGUCCUUUUGUUGCAUGUUGGAUCGUGGUGAUGGCGAGAGCAACAGAGAACGGGAGAACGAGGGUUAGCGUUUCGAUGACGAGGAGAAGAAGAAGAAGAAGGGAAGGGAAACGGGUAUAGCAGCGGAGAGUGAAGUGAGGUAGUCGCUGCUCCUACAAAACCCAUCUUUUCCUUACCGAUUAUGUCGCUUGUCACCGCGCCACAUAUACACACACUUCCAACCAACUCAUGUUCUAUGUGCUUUUCAUUUGUGGUUCUUGUUUCUUCUCUACUACCACUUUUCAAUCUUUUAUAUAUAUAUAUAUAAUAUAUAUAUAUAUAUAUAUUGUUAUUUACUUAUCAUAGUAAAUGAAAAGUGUGAAAUUUGGUCUAUAAUCAACACACUCAAGUGAUUAAGAAAAAUAAACUUGAUUUAAUCCACAUUCAAGAAACAAAAAUGACAGAGGUGGAAGGUAAGAUAUGUGAAAAUAUGUGGCGUCAAGAUAUCUGAUAUUUGAAUGGGAGGUAAGGUGUGUGGGCAGUUACUGGUCUGGAACCCAAUGAUAUUUACUAAGCAGACAUAGAUUAAUGAUGAGCAUUUCAUAGGAGUGGAAGGUAGGUGGAGUUAUGAAGGGAUACAAGUGGAAAUUAUGAAUGUGUAUUUUCCUUGUGAUUUGGUCGACAAGAGAAGACUAUGGUUCAGAUUGGGUGAGAUAAUAAAAUCAAAACCAGAAGUAAGUUGGUGCGUGAUGGGUGAACUUAACGCAAUUUGAGUGGAGUCAGAAAGAAAAGGUGUUUGUUUAUUUUUCAGAAAAGGGAAGAUGAUAGAGUUUGAUGAGUUUGUUUUGGGUGCAGAACUUAUAGAUAUCCCACUAAGGGAUAUGCGGUUCACUUGGUCGAAUCUUAAUGGUUCAACCAUGAGCCAAAUUGAUAGAUUCAUAUUCUCAGAAAGUUGGUUACACAUUGGCGGAAGUGUGAUCAAUGGUGUCUAGAUAAGGGGCUCUUUGAUCACUGUCAUUUAAUGAUUUGUAAUAAUUCAUUGAACUGGGGACCGAGACCUUUUCGUAUGUUCAUCUGUUGGAGAGAACUAGAAGGCUAUCACAAGUUUUUGGAGGGCAAGUGGAGAUCAUUCGACGUCCAAGGAUGGGGAGGAUAUAUAUUGAAAGAGAAAAUUAAAAUGAUCAAAAGAAAUCUUAGAGAUUUGAGUGAGAGUCAUAUGGAAAAAAUGGAUGGUAAAAUUAAAGAGGUGAAAAAGAAAGUCAACGAGAUGGAUAUUAAAAGUGAAGUAUCAAUGCUCACCCAUGAAGAUGUCUUAACUAAAAUGGAGGCGUCAGUUCAACUAUAGGUGUUAUCAAGACUUAAAUCUAGCAUUUUAUGGCAAAAGUCCCGCAUGAAAUGGCUAAAAGAAGGGGACAAGAGUACAAGACUUUUCCAUAGAUGUGUGGUAAAUAGAAGGAAAAUAAAUGAGAUUACUUGUAUAGAGACACAACAAGAAAAAUGGACUGGGGUUUAGGAUAUAAAGCAGGGAGUUUUUGAACAGUUUUCUGAGGUUUCUACGGAAAAGUCAGCGAAUAGACCGGUUUUAAGAGAUUUUGAGUUUAAAAGAUUGGUUUGAAGGAUAAUUUAUGCCUUAUAGUGGAAUUCAGAGAGGAAUGGAUUAAAAUAGUAGUGUGGGAGUGUGAUAGUUCGAAGAGUCCUGGGCCAUACGAAGUAAACUUUGGUUUCAUGAAAGAGUUCUUGGAAGUGAUUAAAGACGACUUCUACAGAUUCAUUGUAGAGUUCCAUUCAAAUAGUAGGUUGGUUCGUGGAGCAGACAGUUUCUUCAUUGCAUUAAUUCCAAAGAUUGAGAACCCAAUGAAGCUGAAAGAUUUUCGGUUGAUAUCGCUCAUAGGAUCUAUGUAUAAAGUGGUGGCGAAGCUUCUCGCAAACAGACUGAAGAAAGUAGUGCAUAAGGUAAUAUCUUAACCACAAUUUUCCUUCUUAAAGGGUUGUCAAAUGCUUGAUUGCAUUGUUAUUGCGAACAAGUUAUUUGAUGACGCUAAGAGAAAAAAAUAAAUAAGCUCUGGUAUUUAAAGGCGACUCUGAAAAAACGUAUGAUUCGGUGGACCGGAAGUUUCUUGAUUAUAUGAUGCAGAGAAUGGGAUUUGACGGAAAGUGGCAAUGAUGGAUCUCUGAAUGUUUACAUUAUGCUUGUGUGCCAGUUAUGAUAAACGGAACUCCUCUGAAGAAUUUCCAAUCGGGAGAGUGUUAAGGCAAAUUGACCCUUUAUCCCCAUUUCUAUUUUUGUUAGUAGUUAAUGGUCUCAAUAAAAUGAUGAUAAAAGGGAGUAGGAAUGGACCUCUUUAAGAGAUACCAAAUAAGGAAUGGUGAGGUUAUUGUCUCUCACAUCUAAUAUGAAGAUGACAUGAUUGUGGUAGGGAAGAGAAAUUGGAAGAAUAUUUUGGUGAUUAAGGAAAUCCUACAACUUUUUGAAUUAGAGUCUGAGCUGAAAGUAAACAUCCAUAAAAUUUCCCAUAUUGGAGUCAAUAUACAUGGAUCUUGGUUGGAAGAGGCUUCGAAGGUACUACAUUGCAAGGUGAAAUCAACAUCAUUUACUUACUUGGGUUUGUCAAUCGGAAGUAUUCGUCGAAGGGUGAGUGAAUGAAAAUCGGUGAUUGGGAUACUAAGAAGAAUGUUGUCUUCCUAGAACAAUACUCCCCCCGUUCCUUUUUAAGUGUCAAUUUCUUGUAAAAAAAUUGUUUUUUUUAAUUGUCACUUGCAAAAUUCAAGGUAAUAUUAAUUGCAAUUUUGUCAAAAUUACCCCUAGGUAAUUAUUAUAUAUAGAGAGAGAAAAAGUAAAAUGAAUGCAAUAAAUAAUUAAGGGUAUUAUAGGUAAAACAAGAAUUAUUAUUUGAAAAGUAACCAUAAUGAUUAGCUUCCUUGGUAUGUGUAAAAAGUAAAAAAAAAAUAACAUUUAAAAAGGAACGAAGAGAGUAAUUAUCUAUCAAUAGGUGGUUGUAUUAUCCUCUUGAAGUAUGUCUUAUUUGCCUUACCUGUAACACCACAAAGUCGAUUAAAUUAUUUAAUUUAAUUGCUGCAAUUUAUGUUAUUUAAUUAUUUGAUGUUGGUAGGGGUGUACGUGGGUUGGGUCAACCCACAAAACCCGGUCAAACACAACCAAAAAAAUAAAAAAAAAAGUGGGUUGGAUCAAGUAAUUGGGUGAAUAUGAGUUUAAAAACUAAAAAAUCCAUUAAAAAAUUGGGUUUCGGGUAAAACCGGACUCAAACCCAAAAAUCCCACUAAUCCACUAAUCAAAUAUUUAUGAUUACAAUUUUAAUGAUUUUGAUGAAUAUUAACUUAGUUUUUGCAAUUUUAGUCUCUUAAUAUACUAUUUUAGUGAACCAUGACUUUAAAUAAUUUUGAAUGUUUUACUAUUUAGUUAUUUUGAUACUAAUACUACAAUUUUAUGUUAUGCAACUUUAAUUUAUUGCUAGUAUUUUAUGAUAAUUUUUAGUAGUUGAUGAUAUCAUUUAUUAUUUUAUGAUGCUAAAAGAUAGCAAAAAUAGGUUAUCUAUUGUUUUUUAAGAUUAAAAUGUUGAGUAAUUUUUAAGAAAAAAAUAUGAUGGCUCAUCAUUUAGUAAUUUAAUAUUAAUAAAAUAGAAAAAUUAUUUGGACAACCCACUGUCCAACCCAACUCAACAUAAAAAUUAGUGGGUUUGCCCAAAUCGGCCCAUUGGUAUAAUGAGUGAUUAUUUUAUCUCAUCCAAACUGGAGUAUCGUAUAUAGAUUGGGUAUUGAGUUUGGUCAAACCCAACCCAAACCGGACCACGUACACCUCUAAAUAUUGGUGUGCAUUAAAAUAAAAUUAUAUGAUUAUAUAUUGUUGGGGAUGUAGUGAAAAUAGUAGGGUGUGGUGAGAAGGUAAAAUAAAUUAGAAAAUAAUUAUAAUAAUUAGAUUUUUUAAUUAUUUUAGAAAUAAAAUAAGAAAAGUGGUGAAAUAUGAGAUUUGGACCAUUGGUGUGAAUUACGAAAAAUAUAUGACAAGAGGAGAGAAGUUGAGAAUAAGUUGGGCAAAAACUGUAAUUUGAGAAGAUAGUUAGAAACCUUAUAAAUUCUAAAAGUUGGAAGGAAGUUGGGUUUUAGAGAACCAUUUGACAGUACGUGAAAAUAAGAGGCAAAGAAGAACAAGGGCUUGUGGGAAGGAGAGCUAUGAUUGAGAAGAGGAAUCCAUAGUAGUUGUUCAAUUCGUCAUUAUUGCAGGAAAUCUAAGGUAAAAGGGGAGAAAUGGAUUUGACUAUGGGUGUAUUGCAUGAUAGGAUAGAGAAGAGUCUCAUUAGGGAUUGUGUAGAUUCUAUUAUGAUUUAUUGUUGUUGUGAGAUAAUAUGAAAAAUUGGUGAUUGAUUGUAUUGUUAUGUAAUUUUUGUGAUUGAAUUCGUGUAUGUACGAUUCUGUUUAUGAGUAUGUGAUUCUAUGUCAUUGUUAGAAUUUUGAAGCUUUGAGCAUGAACAUGAAUUUGAUGAAAGUGAUGAAUGAAUUGUGUGUCUAAUUUUAUGAUUCAUGAUGUUAAUCUGUGGGAAAUUAACAUGUUUAAUAUGAUAUAAUUAUUAUGUGUCGAAUUCUGAGCGUUUGGAUUUUUAUGGAAUCGAAAUUGGAGGCCUAGAAGGUUCCAAUGAUGAAAAAACAUAGACUUUUGCAUUUAGCAGCAGUUUUGCAUUCUGCUGCGACUUAACAGUCGUCAGUUUCGUGACGGUACACCCGUCAUGACUAGACUGAUUUGGUUCAAAUACAGUUUUGAUCAUAGCUUUAGUUUCAGGACUCGGAUUGAGGCGCGGUUCGAAAUGUUGGAAAGAUAACCCACAAAGUUACAUUAUGGUAGUGCCAUGUGAGAUUAAUUUCCAUGUAUAAAUGGUGUUUAUAUGUCUUGAAGUGUAGAAUUGUGUGACUUGUUGUAUUUACUUAAUGAUAAAUUGAUGUUAUAAUGAUUUAAUAUGAUCGAAUAUCGUGUGGAUAUGAAUUUGACGAGGUGUUGUUGUUUGGUGUUAUUUGUUAAUUAUCGUAACAUUGAUUAAUUGUUGCAUAUUGGGAAUGAUGUUGUGCAUAAUGGUGAUAAAUGCAUGAUGAUAAUUUUGGUGAUAAUGUAUAUUAUUGAGAGUCAUGCAUCAUGGUGUAUGGAUUUCGGUCUAGUUUUGGUAUGCUCUGGUCCUAUGGUAGGGAUUCAGGAAUGAGUAGCUAGUUCCAGAUGGGAAUCAAUAAAGCAUUACCUAUGGUGAUGGUAGUGAUUUUUGUUUGCUUUGGUCCUAUGGUGGGGAUUCAGGAGCGAGAUGAAUCUAAGUGCACUUAUGACAACGAGCCUUUGAGGUUUGAAAAAGACCCACUUGAAACUAAUAAGAAAAUGCAGGCUCAAGACCCCCUAGAAGAGGUAUACUUGGGCGAAGGAACAGACUACAAUGAAAUGUCCGGACUAAGUCGAGACAUGGUGGAAUUAAAGUUGCCAAUUCGACCUGGCAAGAAGCCGGUGAAACAGCUGUCAUGAGGUUUGAACCAGAGAUAAUGUCGAAGAUCAAGGAAGAGAUCGAAAGGCUUCUCAGAAGUAAGUUCAUAAGAACAACCAGGUACGUCGAAUGGUUAACUAAUAUUGUUCCAAUUAUAAAAGAAAAAUGGUACUCUUAGAGUUUACAUAGACUUUAGGGAUCUAAAUAAAGUUAUGCCUAAAGACAAAUACCAUAUGCUUGUGGCAGAAGUGCUAGUCGAUUCAGCCGCAUGUCAUGAGUAUUUAAGUAUGUUGGACGGGUACUUCAGUUAUAAUCAAAUCUUUAUAGCUAAGGAGGACGUACCUAAGACAACAUUUCGAUGACCAAGUGCGUUAGGCACUUAUGAAUGGAUAGCGACGCCCUUUGCUCUAAAAAACGAUGGGGCAACUUAUCAAAGAACUAUGAACUCUAUGUUUCAUGACUUCAUCCAGACUUUUAUGCAAGUCUAUAUCGAUGACAUAGUCAUAAAAUCCUCAUCAGAAAAUGGUCAUUUGGACCAUCUUCGACACUCUUUUCAGAGGAUGAGGAAAUAUGGAUUGAAAAUGAAUCCAUUAAAAUGUGUUUUCUGUGUUGGUGCAAGAGACUUCUUGGGAUUCGUGGUGCACAAGAAAGGCAUAGAGAUCAAUCAAAACAAAACGAAAUCAAUUGUAGAUCCCAAGCCUCCUUCGAUAAAGAGACAACUUCAAUCUUUGUUGGGGAAAAUAAAUUUCCUAAGAAGGUUCAUCUCCAACCUAAGGGGCAAAAUUCAGUCAUUCUUGCCACUGUUUCUACUCAAGAAAGACAAUGAUUUUAUUUGUGAGAGCGAGCAACAAGAGGCUUUUGACAAUAUCAAGCAAUAUUUGAUGAAGCCUCCAGUAUUGUUACCUCCAAGUAGAAAUAGGAGCAUGAAAUUAUACAUAAUUGCGCUAGAUUCGACCAUAUGCAGUAUGUUAGCUCAAGAGGAUGAUAAUGGUGUCGAAAGAGCCAUAUAUUACCUCAGUCAAAUCUUAAUAGACGCAUAAACUAGGUAUAACCCGAUUGAAAAAUUAUGUUUGUGCCUAUACUUUUCAUUUACGAAAUUGAAGCAUUAUAUAAAACUAGUGGAAGUUUAUGUUUACUCUCAUUUCGACGUUGUUAAACAUAUGUUAUCAAAGCCCAUAUUGCAUUGUCAAAUAGGGAAGUGGGCUUUGGCGCUUACUGAGUAUUCAUUGACUUAUUAUCCUUUGAAAGCAAUAAAAUGACAAAUUGCCACAAACUUUAUUGUUGACCAUUAAGUGGUCGAAACAAUGGAUGCGUACGUAGAAACUAGGCCUUGGAGGUUGUACUUCGACAGUUCCAUACAUAAAGAUUGAGUCGGAGUAGGAACCUUUAUCCUUUCGCCAGAAAACAUACCGACCAAGUUUAGGUAUAAGAUCAAGGAGUCAUAUUCCAAUAAUGAGGUCAAAUAUGAAGCCUUGAUAACAGGCCUUCAGAUUUUGUUGAACUUGGGUGCAAAUGACGUCAAAAUAAAGGGAGAUUUGAAGUUAGUGGUUCAACAAUUGAAUAAAGAGUGUAAAUGCAUCAAAGAGAACUUGAUUUUAUACUUUGUCAUAGCUAACUCUUUACUGAAAGGUUUUAAUCACGUUUUGAUUGACCACAUCCCUCGACUAGAGAGUCAGAAGGCUAGUGACUUGGCUCAGAUAGCCUCAGGAUAUAAAAUCUCUAAAGAGAGGUUGAAAGAUUUAGUCGAGAUAAAGGAAAUAUUUGUCUCAGAAGAUAACCCUCAAGAGACACUGUCAAUGUUAAAACUUGGGGGGCAGAGGAAUACGAGGACCCACCAAACUUUGAAAAUUCCGAGUUUGAUAAGUUUUUGAACUACGAAGUUUUGGCCAUUGACCUAAUGUCAGAUGAUGAUUGGCGAAAACCUAUAGUCAAAUAUUUAGGAAACUGUCGCACCUCUAAAAAUGAGAACAUGACUUAGCAAAGCACAAUCACGCGCUCGCGGGAAUGAUUGAACAGAGUCGUCACCGAACUUUAUUUAUUCCUAAAGAGGGAAAGGGAAAAUAUUGAUAGAACCCCUAAAAGAAAGGAUAAGAUACAAUUAUUGCAACCAAUAUCAGGGUUCAAGAGUCGGUUACAUAAAAGGGAAGGUAUUAACAGCCCUCAUGUUCGUUGUACUCAACGAAAACCAUUUAGUUAGUUUCGAUUUGAAUGUUAGCUUAUGUUAGCUUAUGUUAGUUUACAGUUUUCUACUUAUUUGGGAUAUAAAAAGAAAAAAGAGAAUUUUUUUUGAAUUUUUAAUAAUAAGAAAUUGUUAGAACAAAAGCUACUUCUGCAUCUAUACCUUGAGUUUUGAUGAUAACAAUAUUGUAUUUGUGUGAGAACAAUUUUGGUACCCUAAUGGUUUGUUAUUGUGUAGCUUUAAUAACCAAUUCUGAUUCUAAAUAUAUGAUGUGCAACAUCAUCAGUUUCUGAACUGUGUUCCAAAUUCGCUUAUGUGCUAGCUAUUAGAAGUUCUGAAAGAUUUCCAAUAUUGUUAUUGCAAUGAUCUUUCUGCUUCUGUGCUGAUUCACUCAUAAGAAGCUUAUGAGGAGACACUAUGUUGUUGUUGCCACGUUAUCUCAGUUCAUGUGUUUGGACGUGACUCUGAUCAUUAAACUUCUGAAGAAUGGAAAGCUUCUGAUGUUAUGUUAUGUAGCUGAAGAUUCUUAAGAUCUCAUGCCAGACGGUUAAAGAUAUCAAGGUUUUGACUAAGGAUUCUGAAGACUCUAAAGGUUAUGAAGAUCUCAAGCCAGACUAUUGACGAUGUCAAGGUUCUGACAAAAGAUUAUGAAGUUUAUGAAUCCAUCUUUAUGUUUCUUCAUUUCACGCUUCAUUAAUUUUCAUCAAAAGCCAAUGAACUUGAAAAUAAGAUCAAAAUAGGAAUGUGAUCAAAUAGGACAUGGUAGAAAACAAACAUCCUUUCCACUACCUGAUUUCAUGGGAAAAGACAAUACUAUACAUCACACCUAUCACUAGUUUUGUGGGUGAAAGGAUAGUACGCAUUAUCAUUCCUUUCCUAUCCAAUAGUGGACAACCGAUCAAAUGAGCUUUCCCUGUUUUCCCUCCAACGGUCGUAUGCUUAUGCUAUAUAAGUAUGACUUGGAGACUUGAAGAAAAAUGUCGGUUACACAAAUAUUUUGACAAGUUAUUUUCUUUGUGAAAAGUUAUCAUUCUUUUGUACACAGUUUUUCUUUAAGUGUUUGUUAUUCAUUUGUGUAAAAUCUGCUUGUGUAGAAGCAUCUCGUAAUACAUAAAAUAUUCUUCAAACUAUUUGUUUGGUUCCUUAAGGAGGUUAUCCUUGAGAAGACAAAGAAGGUUGUUUUUUGUGAGUCCUUAAGGAGACUAAGGUUUAGUUGGAUACUUGAUAAGACAAAGAAGGUUAUUCUUUGUGUUUGUUGUAAUUUGUUUAUUAUAAUGGAUUAAGUCCUUGUGUAUAAGGAAAAUUACCUUGGCAAAUGGACUGGAUUAACUUUGAGUUUCAAGCGAACCAAGAUAAAAAUACUUGUGUUUUUAUCUCUUCAUUAUUAACUUGUUAGUGGUGUUCUUGUUUUGGAAAAAGCUUUUGCUUGUAAAACCCAAUUCAAACCCCAAUUUCUUGUGUUUUUCACAUCUUCAAUUGGUAUCAGAGCUCCAGUUUUGAUUGUGAUGAAAAGCUUUUAUUAACACCUUACAAUGUUCAAUACCGAUCCAGUUUGUGUGAGAAACAAUGGUUGCUGCUAACGAUGCUAACGUUGUUAAUAAUAAUGAUAGAGAUCAUUACAAUUUAAAACCACCAAUUUUUAAUGGUGAGAAAUUUAACUAUUGGAAAGACAUAAUAGAAAGUUUAUUUCUUGGUUACGAUGUUGAUCUUUGGGAUCUUGUAGUCGAUGGCUAUGUUCUCCCAGUAAAUGCUGAAGGAAUUACUUUAGCAAGAAGUGAUAUGUCUGAUCAAUAGAAAAAAGACUUUGAAAAUCAUCAUAAGGCCAAAACCAUAUUGCUUAAUGAUAUCUCUUAUACGGAGUAUGAGAAGAUAACAAACAUAGAUUUUGCCAAAUCCAUUUUGACUCUCUGAGGAUGACUCAUGAGGGAAACGCUCAAGUAAAGGAGACAAAGGCCUUGGCCUUAAUCCAUAAAUAUGAAGCAUUCAAAAUGGAAGAUGGUGAAAAAGUUGAGACUAUGUUCUGAAGGUUUCAUAUGUUUGCCGCAGGACUUAAAGUUCUGGACAAAGGGUAUUCUACAGCUGAUCAUGUCAAGAAAAUUAUCAGAAGUCUUCCCAAAAAAUGGAGACCUAAGGUAACUUCCUUGAAGCUGGCAAAGGAUCUCAACAACACCAGUCUUGAAGAACUCGUUAGUUCUUUAAGAAGCCACGAGAUUGAGCUAGAAGAAGAUGAACCUUAGAAACAAGGUAAAUCUGUUGCUCUAAAAUCCAAGCCUGAGGAAGACUAGAGCAUAUCAAGCUGAUGAAGAAUCAGAAGGAUCCGAUGAAGACUCAAAAGAUGAUGAUGAGUUGUCUCUAAUCUCAAAGAGAGUUAAUAGACUCUAGAAACAUAGGAAAAGUGGUCAAGGGAAGUUCAGAGGAGUUAGAAGGACUACUGGUCGCUUUGAAUAUUCGUUUGGACAGAAGAAGCAAGGCUCUGGAAAAGGAGUUAUUUGCUUUGAGUGCAAGGAGUCAGACCAUUACAAAAAUGAUUGUCCUAAGCUGAAGAAGGAUAGAAGGGUGCAAAAAGAACUUCUCCAAAGUCAAGAAGGGGAUGAUGCCUACCUGGGAUGACUCAGAAUCUGAAGAAGAAGUUUCUGAAGAAGAAAAAGCCAACGUUGCACAGAUGGCAACUACAAAGUAUCCCAUAAGUUCUGAAGAACCAUAAGACAAGGUGUUAUCAGAAUCAGAAUCUGACUCCGACUCUAAAGAGGUAUUUUUUACCUAUCUCAUUCUGAUAUUGAAUCAUGUCUCUCUAAAAUGCUGGAAAAGUACCAGAGUUUUCAGAGUAAAUGCAAGGACCUUAAACAAGUCCAAGUAAUGGCUUUUGAAACUCAGAAAGAGCUUGAGAGAUAUAUUUCCUAUCUAAAUGAAAAAGUAUUGUCUUUAGAAAGUAACAACUCUGCUUUGAAAAGAAAAUUUUCAAAACUAGAGAAGGAAAUAACUUCAUAAGCUUCUGGUACUGAUUGCGUCAACAGAUAUGACAAAGCAUUCCAGUACUUUCUGACUAAAAGCAUGAAUAGAAGCAAAAUGGCUUCAUUGAUCUAUGGAGUUAGCAGAAAUGGAAGGAAAAUUUUAGGUUGUACCAAAUCUAUAAAACUUGACGAAAGUCAGAAGGUCAAACCAAAACCUCUCUAUGUGCAUUUCGUACCUUCUGGCACUGAGCUUGAUACUUAUUCAUAAACAGAGAAGCAUACUAAGGAUAAGAACUUUGUUCUGAAACCUAAGUAUCAUGCACAAAUUUCUUAUGAUUAUCAUUCUGCUAAAAGAUCAAAAGUUGUAAGAAACUCUGGGAAAACUAACAAAAUAGGACCCAAAAAAUGGGUACCUGAGGAUAAAAUUAUUUAUGUUGCAGAAAUCCUUAACAACUUAGUUGAAACACCAGUCAUGGUACCUGGACAUUGGAUGCUCACGACACAUGACGAGCAAAAGGUCUAUGUUCCAAGAUUUGGAACUUAAGCCUGGAGGCUUCGUUGGUUUCGGAGGAAACCAAAAAGGAAAGAUCAUUGGAUAUGGGACCAUUGGUAAUGGUAAACUUCCUUCUAUUACUAAUACUCUUUUAGUUGAUGGUCUGAUGCAUAACCUGUUGUCUAUUAGCCAACUUAGUGACAAUGGUUAUGAUAUCAUCUUUAAUCAAAAGUCUUAUAAGGCAAUUAGUCAGAAAGAUGGUACAAUCAUUUUUAACGGAAAUAGGAAGAACAACAUUUAUAAAAUUAGACUUUCUGAUCUUGAAGAUCAAAAUGUAAAAUGUCUAAUGUCUAUUAAUGAGGAGUAAUGGGUAUGGCAUCGACGUUUGGGCCAGGUUAGCAUGAGAAGGUUUUCUUAGCUAAAUAAGCUUGGAUUAGUCAGAGGUCUACCCAUCCGGAAGUUUGCUUCAGAUGCUCUUUGUGAAGCAUGUCAUAAAGGCAAGUUUCUAAAACAUCUUUCAAAGUAAAAACUAUUAUUUCUAUCUCUAGACCGUUAGAACUUCUGCACAUUGAUUUGUUUAGACCACUGAAAACUACUUCUAUAAAUGAAAAGAAAUAGGUAUUGGUCAUAAUUGAUGACUACAGUCGUUGGACAUGGGUAAGGUUCUUGAAACACAAGGAUGAGUCACAUUCUGUGUUUUCUACCUUUUUCUCACUAGUGCAAAUAGAAAUGAAUUGCAAAAUAGUCAAAGUUGAAAGUGAUCAUGGUGGCGAAUUUGAAAAUGGACAUUUUGAAUAUCUUUUUAAUUCAAAAGGUAUUUCCCAUGAUUUCUCUUGUCCUAAAACUCCACAGCAAAAUGGAGUUGUAGAAAGGAAGAAUAUGACUUUUCAAGAAAUGGCUCGCACCAUGAUCCAAGAAACCGAUAUGGCUAAGCAUUUCUGGGCAGAAGCAGUUAACACAACUUGUUAUAUUCAGAACAUGAUUUUUAUCCGACCUAUUCUAGGUAAGACUCCUUAUGAAUUGUGGAAGAACAGAAAGCCUAACAUUUCUUAUUUUCACCCUUUUGGAUGUGAAUAUUUUAUGUCGAACAUUAAAUAGAAUCUUGUCAAGUUUGAUUCUAAAGCACAUAAGUGUUUUUUGUUAGGAUAUUUUUAAUGCUCUAAAGGCUACAAGAUCUUUAAAAUAGAAACACGGAUUGUUGAGGAGUCAAUUCACGUUAGAUUCAAUGAUAAGCUUGACCCUGAAAAGUCAAAGCUAGUUGAGAAAUUUGCAGAUCUGAAAAUCAAUAUUUCAGAAUCCAAAGAUAUAGUUUAUGGAGAAAAAGACUCAUAAGGAAAAGGCAAAGAAUAUGAAUAAACGAUUCAACCAUAAGCAAUCAUUGAUCCAACUAAUCAAAAGAAGAGUAGAUCAAGAACUUAUCAUUAAGAAGAACUGAUUAUGGGCGACAAGAAUGCUCCAGUUAGAACCAGAUCUUCAUUCAAACCUUCUGAAGAGACUUUUCUAGGUUUUGUGUCUCUGAUAGAACCCACAUCCAUUGAUGAAGCUCUUCUGAAUAAUGAAUGGAUUUUGGAUAUGCAAGAAGAACUGAAUCAUUUCACCAGAAAUGAUGUUUGGGAUCUUGUUCAAAAACCAAAAGGCUUCCAUGUCAUUGGAACCAAAUGGGUCUUCAGAAACAAGCUAAAUGAGAAAGGUGAGGUUGUAGGAAACAAGGCUCGACUUGUAGCACAAGGUUAUAGUCAGCAAAAAGGUAUAGACUAUACAGAAACCUUUUCUCCAGGUGUCGGGUUAGAGUCUAUUCGUCUUUUAAUUUCUUUUGCAGUCAAUCAUUACAUCAUCCUUUAUCAGAUGGAUGUUAAGAGUGCAUUCUUGAAUGAAUAUAUUUCUUAAGAAGUAUAUGUCCAUUAACCUCCUAUUUUUGAAAGUUCUCAAAAUACUGACUUUGUUUUUAAACUGAAAAAAUCUUUAUAUGGUCUGAAGCAAGCUCCCAGAGCUUGGUAUGAUAGACUCAACAACUUUCUUUUGGAAAAUGAUUUUACCAGAGGGAAAAUGGACACAAAUCUCUUUUGCAAAACCUUCAAGAAUGAUAUUCUGAUUGUGGAAAUUUAUGUUGAUGAUAUCAUUUUUGGUUCUGCUAAUACGUUGUUGUGCACGGAUUUUUCUAAGUCAAUGCAGGCAAAAUUUGAAAUGAGUCUGAUGGGAGAACUUAAGUUCUUUUUGGGAAUCCAGAUUGAUCAACGAUCAUAAGGAACUUAUAUUCAUCAGAGCAAAUACACAAAGGAACUUCUGAAGAAGUUCAACUUAUUAGAAUGUAAGCUAGAAAAGACUCUAAUGCAUCCUACAUGUAUUCUGGAGAAAGAAGAGGUAAGUAGUAAGGUAAAUCAGAAUCUAUUCAGAGGUAUGAUAUGUUCUCUUUUAUAUCUAACGUCUUCUAGACCUGAUAUCUUAUUCAGUGUCUGCUUAUGUGCUCGCUUCCAAUCAAAUCCUAGGGAAACUCAUUUAACUGUUGUUAAGAGAUUCUUUAGGUAUCUGAAAGGUACGACUAAUCUUGGUUUAUUUUAUAGAAAAUCAAGUGAGUAUAAAGUAGUAGGCUAUUGUGACGCUGACUAUGCUAGAGACAAAAUUGAAAGAAAAAGUACUUCUAGAAGUUGCCAAUUUUUGGGAGAUAACCUGAUCUCAUGGUCCAGCAAGAGACAGUCAACAAUCACGCUUUCAACGGCCGAAGUUGAAUACAUUGCAGCUUCUAGAUGCAACACUCAAAUACUCUAGAUGAAGAGUCAACUGGAAGAUCAUCAAAUAUCUGAGAGCAACAUUCAUAUUCUAUGUAAUAAUACUACUGCUAUUUGUUUAUCUAAGAAUCAUAUCUUGCAUUCUAGGGCUAAGCAUAUUGAAAUAAAACAUCACGUUUUAUGUGACUAUGUUCAAAAGGGUAUUUUUCAUUUAAAAUUUGUUGAUAUAGACCAUCAAUGGGCUAAUAUCUUUAUAAAACCCCUUGCCGAAGAUAGAUUCAUGUUCAUUCUGAAAAAAUUAUUUAUGAAAUUAUGUCCAGGAUGAAAAGAUGUAUUUCAAAAUGUUUAAGUCUUCAGAACUCUAGAUUAGAUUCUGAGAUUGUUAUUCUUUGUGACUCUGAAAUAUGAGCUUUAUGAAGUAAGGAAGUUUUCAUGAAUCAUAAAGGUUCUGAUCAGAAGCAAUCUUAUCGAUUUAUCUUCCUGAUUCUAAACAAUUGUUGCAUUAAAUGGUUGUCUUGUUGUUUGAUUUCAUGUGGUUAUUAUCAGCGAUAACUGUCCCACUUUCUGAGCAUGCAUGAUAAAAGCGUGGCACAUUGGGUUUAGCAAUUCUUGGAGUUAGGUCUAAACUCUUACGCUUCCACCAAUAACUGGGUAUUCCCUUUUUGUCAUCAUUGCAAAUUUUUAUAUAUAAACCCACUUCACUCAUAUUUUCACACUACGCGCAUAUUACUCCCACACUUUCAACUUUCAAACCUAAAAACAACCCUCUUUAUCUGCAACUGUUCUUCAUCUUCAUCUUCUUCAAAUAACUGAACAACAACAACAAUCUCCAAGCUCUUCAAAGGCAACUGAAAGCAACACCAUUUUGGAAGGAAUUCUAGAAUCAACUUUUCAUACUUCUGUCAACGAGUUAAUGGUGUUAUGCGAGACCAUCGUUAAUUUCAAAAAUUUGAAGGAAAAAGAUUUUGGUUUCUCUGAAACCUUGUAACUUCAAGGUUGGAAAACAUUCUUCGAGAGACUCACAAGCCCAGUUUAUCCAGUUCUCGUGAAGCAAUUUUGGGUGCAUGUCACUACUGAAAAAGAAACUAUUACUUCCUACGUCAUGAAUAGGAAAAUAGUUAUUACUGAGAAGUCCAUAGCUGAUCUUAUCUCUUAUGAUGGUAAAGGGAAAAGGAUACACAGUGCUACGGUCAACACUAGGAGAGAAUUUGUUAUUGCUCCAGUUAUCUUCAAGGAGGAAUUAAACUUUAAAGAUGACAAAGGUCCUAGUGCUAAGGACUUGACUAGGAACCUAAGAGUUUGGUUCAAAAUUGUCUUGGGUUGUAUUCACCACAGGCCUAGCAGAAAUAGUUCUGACUACAUCAACACUCAUCAGAAGUUCAUGUUAUUUUGUCUGGUGAAGGGUGUCAAGUAGGGACUUCCUUCCAUUCUGUUUAAGUUCAUGAGGGAUUCUAUCUGAGAAUCCAGAACUGGUGGUUCUUCUAAGAAGACAAAGAGCAAGUUCAUUCCCAAUGACAAACUAAUUUAUGACAUUCUUGUGGAGACUGGUUUAGUAGAUGACCUUCUAGUCAAUGGAUUAACAGAAGAACUGGCGAAGGAUGCUGGAAAGGUAUUUUGGGGGAAAAUCUGAAAAGUAUGGAUCUCAUCUCUAGAAUUCAAAGACUGUAUUUCAUUUUUUCUAAGGAUGAUAUCUAUGGAACAAGGAAUCCAGUUGAUGGCUACCUAAUGUUCACCAAGAUUGAUCCUCCAAAAGUUCUUAUGGCAUAUCUGGAAAGCUAUCUGAAGGAUGAACUUGACCCAUUGGUGGAUCCAUUCAACCUUCCUGAGACUUAUCCCAAUAUUCAUGGGAAGAGAAAGAAGGAAUUCAUAGGUGAAAGAUCUUCUAGGGCUUAGAAAAAGAAUAUUAUUGUCUUUUUGGAAAAGACGACGUGCCUCUAAGUGAGGGCCAGAAAGCAAUGCUUCUAAAGGAUACUUCUGGAGUUGUCCAAUCUUCUUUAAGAGCUUCUGAUGUGGCAUCUGGUAAGCUUCCUUCUGAUAUCACUUAAUUUAAUUAUGAUUCAAUUUUAUCUGAAAGGAUCUUACUAAUCCAACCUCCUCUUUCAUCUCAACCAAUUGUUUCUGAACCUAUCCCACUUCCAUCACCUCAAUCGACCUUUAUCAAUCCUAUCAUAGAAACUCAUUUAGUUUCUGAACCUUUGUCAGAACAACAACAGAUACCACCACCACCAUCUCCUCCAUAAUUAUAGAAUUCACCCAUCUCACCCCCGUGUAUUUCUGCUCCCCAACCAACAAAUCCAAAUAUAACAACCCCCAUAACAUCUCCCUCAAGAGUUUCUAAUGGACACGUUUUUGAUGGAACACCUGAAGGUAUGUUCGAAUUUGAACCUGGACCAACUUCACCUGAUCAUGAAUCACCUCCCAUUAUUGUUUCAUAAUUUCCUUCUAUCUAUGGUCCUGACUUUGAUGAGUCUAGAAUCAACCUUAUAGUUAAAUACCCCAAAUAACCACCAAAAUCCUCCCUUAACAUUGGUAAGGUUCUGAUGAAAUUUGAGUCGGAAUCUAAAAUUCGUUUGCAUUAAGCAAUGACUAUCAGUCGUUCUUCAACAAAUCCGGUUGCGAGUGAUUCGACAUGGGAAGCUUAUAGAAGUUGGAUGAAUUCCAUGAUUUCUAUGUUGAAAGAUCUUGGGUAUACUCGUUCGUUCCCUUAAUGGAACUCUGGAAGUUACUCUUAACUCUAUCUUCCUACUUCACAAAUCAAGGAAGCUACUCCUGAGGUUAUGGAAGAAGAAGUUGCUCCAGAAACAGAAAGUAUUCAGCACAUUGAGUCUACUCCAGAAGCUGAUGCUGUUCUGAACCUCAAGAUUGUGCUAUGAAAGAAGCUACUACUCAUAUUUUCGUCUUUGAAGCUUAUGCCUCUCAGCCUAUCCUUGUUGCACUUCUGAAGACAAUCGAGGAAAUCAAGGCUGAUAAUGCAAGGGUCAGUGAGCGUCUGGAAAAACAGGAUCUCAUAUUUCAGUUGAUUCUCUCAAGACUUCCUUCUCCUCCUCAUAACCCUUAAUUUUCGUUUAGUUUCUUGAAAAUUUAUUUUGUUUCUUAUCAUUUUACCUUGCAUUGCCUUUUGGCAAAUUUUCAAUGAGAAAUGUUUGUUUCUCUUCAUUUAUUUUUUGUCUUAUGAUUGAUGACAAAGGGGGAGAAAACACAACGUUCUAAAGGGGAAGAAUUAGUGUUUUUUUAUAUCUAAGUUCCUAAAUUAAAAACCCAAACAUUGAUUAAUGUUUUUAUGCUAACAACUUCUUCGAAAAAGAGUUUGUUAAAUGUUUUGCAGGGUUACUUCUCAAGAAUCAGAAUAGUUAAAAUCAAAUAUCUUAAGAUGUCAUGAAGUAUCAAAGAUCAAAAUAUAAGCUACCAGUUUAUGAUGAAAUGGUCUUCUAUCUGAGUCUGAAGUCCUUCAUAUUGAUAAUUGAAUUUCUAAAAAUCAUGGUUUUCUACAAGGGAGAUUUUCUUCUAUAGUAAUUAGACUUGAAAAUUCAAGGUUCCGAUAAGAAAACCUACUCUUUUAAAGAAGACAACCAACUCUAAAGGUUCGUCACAAAGAACUAAAUAAAUCUUCUUAAGUGAAGCUUUUGAAGUAAAGAUUCUUAAGUGAAGCUUAUCAGAAUAAUCAUGUUAUCAAACUAGUGCACUGGACAACAUCAAUCAACUUCUAAAGAUAAACCAGAUUCUGACAGAAAAUUCACUCUGGUAUUUAAAAAAAAAGGUUAAUCAGGAAAGUGUUCUUUCAUUAUGAUUUUAUCUUUAUAAGAUUAUACAUCUCAGGGGGAUAUUUUUGCUUCUGUAAGAUGUAUUCUUCUGUGAUUACCCUCUACAAAACUAUUAAUCAAAAUACAUGUUUUAUCAUCGUAAAAAUGGGGAGAUUCUUAGAACAAGAUAUGGUUCUACAUAUAUACCUUGAGUUUUGAUGAUAAUAAUAUUUUAUUUGUGUGAGAAUAAUUAUGGUACCCUAAUGAUUUGUUAUUGUGUAGGUUUAACAACCAAUCCUGAUUCUGAAUAUAUGAUGUGCAAUGUCACCAGUUUCUGAACUAUGUGUUCCAAAUCUGCUUUUGCGCCAGCUAUUAGAAGUUCUGAAAGAUGUCCAAUAUUGUUGAUGCAAUGAUCUUUCUGCUUCUGUGUUGAUUCACUCAUAAGAAGCUUAUGAGGAUACACUAUGUUGCUACUACAAUAUUCUCUCAGUUCAUGCUUCUGGACGUGACUCGAAUCACCAAACUUCUAAAGAAUGGCAAGCUUUUGAGGUUGUGUUAUGUAGAUGAAGAUAUCAAGAGAUACAAUUGAAGCUAUCAAGGUUCUGACUGAGGAUUCUAAAGACUCUAAAGAUUCUGAAGAUCUCAAGCCAUACUACUAACGCUGUCAAGGUUCUGACCAAAGAUUCUGAAGUUUCAGAAUUCAGCUUUAUGUUUCUUCAUUUCAUGCUUCAUCAACUUUCAUUAGAAGACAAUAAACUUGAAGAUAAGAUCAAAAUAGGAAUGUGAUUAAAUAGUACAUGGUAUAAAACAAACACCCUUUCCACUACUUGAUUUUAUGGGCAAGGACAGUACUAUACAUCACACCUGACACCGAUUUUAUGGGCGAAAGACAAUACACAGUAUCAUUCCUUUCCCAUCCAACAGUGGACAGCUCCCCAAAUGAGCUUUCCCAAUUUCCCCUCCAACAUUCAUAUGCUUAUGUUAUAUAAGUAUGACUUGGAGACUAAAAUAAAAACGCCGAUUACACAAAUAUUUUGACAAGUUAUUCUCUUUGUGAAAAGCUAUCAUUUAUUUAUACACAAUUUUUCUUUAAGUGUUUGUUAUUCAUAUGUGUAAAAUCUGUUUGUAUAGAAGCAUCUUGUAACACACAAAAGAUUCUUCAAACUAUUUGUUUCAUUCCUUAAGGAGGUUAUACUUGAGAAGACAAAGAAGGUUGCUAUUUGUGAGUACUUAAGGAGACUAAGGUUUAGUUGGAUCCUUGAGAAGACAAAGAAGGUUAUUCUUUGUGUUUUUUGUAAUCUGUUGAUUAUAGUGGAUUAAGUCCUUGUGUAUAAGGAAAAAUCACCUUGGCGGGUAGACUAGAUUAACUUUGAGUUUCAAGCGAACCAGGAUAAAAAUACUUGUGUUUUUAUCUCUUCAUUAUCAUCUUGUUAUUGGUUUUCUUGUUUUGAAAAAAGCUUUUACUUGUAAAACCCAAUUCAAACCUCUCGUUUCUUGUGUUUUUCACACCUUCAAUUGGUAUCAGAGCUCAGGUUCUAAUUGUGAUAAAAAGCUUUUAUCAACACCUCACAAUGUUCAGUACCAAUCCAGUUUGUGUGAGAAAUAAUGGUUGCUACUAACGUUGUUAAUAAUAAUGAUAGAGAUCAUUACAGUGCAAAACCACCUAUUUUUGAUGGUGAGAAAUUUGACAAUUGGAAAGAUAGAAUAAAAGGUUUCUUUCUUGGUUACGAUGUUGAUCUAUGGGAUCUUAUACUCGAUGACUACGUUCACCCAGUAAAUACUGAAGGAAAUACUUUAGCAAGAAGUGAUAUGUCUGAUCAACAUAAAAAAGACUUCAAAAAUCAUCAUAAGGCUAGAACCAUAUUGCUUAAUGUUAUCUCUUAUACUAAGUAUGAGAAGAUAAGAAACAAAGAUUCUGCCAAUUCUAUUUUGACUCUUUGAGGAUGACUCAUGAGGGAAAUGUUCAAUUAAAGGAGAUAAAGGCCUUGACCUUAAUCCAGAAAUAUGAGGCAUUCAAAAUGGAAGAUGAUGAAAAGGUUGAGACUAUGUUCUCAAGGUUUCAGAUGCUUUUUGCAGGACUUAAAGUUCUGGACAAAGGAUAUUCUACAACAGAUCAUGUCAAGAAAAUUAUCAAAAUUCUUCUCAAAAAAUGGAGACCUAUGGUAACUGCCUUGAAGCUGGAAAAUGAUAUCAACAACAUCGGUCUUGAAGAAUAAGAAGCCAUGAUAUUGAGCUAGAAGAAGAUGAACCUCAGAAGCGAGGUAAAUCUGUUGUUAUAAAAUCCAAGCCUAAGAAGACUAGAGUAUAUCAAGUUGAGGAAGAAUCAGAAGGAUCUGAUGAAGAAUCAUAAGAUGAUAAUGAGCUGUCUCUAAUAUCAAAGAGAGUCAACAGACUCUGGAAACACAUGCAAAAUGGUCAAGGGAAGUUCAGAGGAGUUAGAAGGAUUGCUGGCUGCUUCGAAUAUUUGUCUGGACAGAAGAUGCAAGGCUCUAGAAAAGAAGUUAUCUACUUCGAGUGCAAGGAUCCAGGCCACUACAAAAAUGAUUGUCCUAAGCUGGAGAAGGACAGAAGGCCCAAGAAUAACUUUUCCAAAGUCAAGAAGGGGCUGAUGGCUACCUGGGAUGACUCAGAAUCUGAUGAAGAUUAUGACGAAGAAAACGCCAACAUUGCAUAGAUGGCAACUACAGAGGAUCCCACAAUUUAUGAAGAACUAGAAGACAAGGUGUUAUUAGAAUCAGAAUCUGACUCCGAUUCUGAAGAAGUAUUUUCUAACCUAUCUCAUUCUGAUAUUGAAUCAUGUCUCUUUGAAAUGAUGGAAAAGUACUAGAGUUUUCAAAGUAAAUACAAGGACCUUAAACAAGUCCAAGUAAUGGCUUCUGAAACUCAGAAAGAGCUUGAGAAAGAUAUUUCCUAUCUAAAUGAAAAAGUAUUUUCUCUAGAAAGUAACAACUCUGCUUUAAAAAGCAAAAUUUUAAAACUAGAGGAGAAAAUAACUUCAGAAGCUUCUGGUACUGAUUACGCCAUCAGAUAUGAAAGAACAUUCCAGUACUUUUUGGAUAAAAGCAUAAAUAGAAGCAAAAUGGCUUCAUUGAUCUAUGGAGUUAGUAUAAAUGGCAGGAAAGGUUUAGGUUGUACAUAAUCUAUAAAACCUGACGAAAGUCAGAAGGUCAAACCAAAACCUCUCUAUGUGCAUUUCGUGCUUGCUGGCAGUAAGCUUGAUACUUCUUCAUAGACACAGAAGCAUACUAAGGAUAAGAACUAUGUUCUAAAAGCUAAGUAUCAUGCAUAAAUCUCUCAUGAUUAUCCUUCUGCUAAAAGACCCAAAGUUGUAAGAACUUUGGGAAAACUAACAAAAGAGGAUCCAAAAAAUAGGUACCUAAGGAUAAAAUAAUUUAUGUUGCAGACAUCCUUAACAACUUAGCUGAAACACUAGUCAUGGUACCUGGACAGUGGAUGCUCGCGACAUAGACAUGUAAAAGGUAUAUGUUCAAAGAUUUGGAACUUAAGCCUGGAGGCUUCGUUGGUUUCAGAGGAAACCAAAAAGGAAAGAUCAUUGGCUCUGGAACCAGUGGUAACGAUAAACUUCCUUCUAUUACUAAUGUUCUUUUAGUUUAUGGUCUGAUGCAUAACCUGUUGUCUAUUAGCCAACUUAGUGACAAUGGUUAUGAUAUCAAUUCUAAUCAAAAGUCUUGUGAGGUUGUUAGUCAGAAAGAUGGUACGAUCAUUUAUAUUGGAAAGAGGCAAAACAACAUUUAUAAAAUUAGACUUUCUGAUCUUGAAGAUCAAAAUGUAAAAUGUCUAAUGUCUAUUAGAGAGGAGCAAUGGGUAUGGCAUAGACGCUUGGGCCAUGUUAGCAUGAGAAGGAUUUUUCAGCUAAAUAAGCUUGGAUUAGUCAGAGGUCUACCCAAACUGAAGUUUUCUUCAGUUGCUCUUUGUGAAGCAUGUCAGAAAGGCAAGUUUUCUAAAACAUAUUUCAAAGCAAAAAGUGUUGUUUCUACCUCUAGACCGUUAGAACUUAUGCACAUUGAUUUGUUUGGACCAAUGAAACUGCUUCUAUCAAUGGAAAGAAGUAGGGAUUGGUCAUAGUUGAUGACUACAGUCGUUGGACAUGGGUAAAGUUCUUGAAACACAACCAUGAGUCACAUUCUGUGUUUUCUAAGUGCUGUUCACUAGUGCAAAGAGAAAUGAAUUGCAAAAUAGUCCAAGUUAGAAGUGAUCAUGGUGAAGACUUUGAAAAUAAACAUUUUGAAAAUAUUUUUGAUUCAAAUGGUAUUUCCCAUGAUUUCUCUUUCUCUUGUCCUAGAACUCCACUACAAAAUGGAGUUGUAGAAAGGAAUAAUAGAACUUUGCAAGAAAUGGCUCGCACCAUGAUCCAAGAAACUGAUAUGGCUAAGCAUUUUUUGGCAGAAGCAGUUAACACAACUUGUUAUAUUUAGAACAUGAUUUCUAUUCGACAUAUUUUGGGUAAGGCUCCUUAUGAAUUGUGGAAGAACAAAAAACCCAACAUUUAUUAUUUUCACCCUUUUGGAUGUGAAUGUUUUAUGUUGAACACUACAGAGAAAGCCCAACGUAGAAUUCUGCAUUUAGCAGCAGUUUUGCAUUCUAUUGCGACUUGUCAGUCGUCAGUUUCGUGACAGGCCACCCGUCAUGACUAAACUGAUUUGGUUCAAAUAUGGUUUUGAUCAUAACUUGAGUUUUAGCACUCGGACUCAGACGCAGUUCAAAGUGUUGGAAAGCUAACCCACAGAGUUACAUUAUGGUAGUGAGCUGUGAGAUUAAUUUCCAUGUAUGAAUGAUGUUUAUAUCUUGUGAAGUGUAGAAUUAUGUGACUUUUUGUAUUUACUUAAUGGUAAAUUGAUGUUAUAAUGAUUUAAUAUGAUCAAAUGUCAUGUGGAUAUAAAUUUGAUGAGGUGUUGUUGUUUGGUGUUGUUUGUUAAUUAUCUUAACAUUUAUUAAUUGUGAAGUAUUGAGAAUGAUGUUGUACAUAAUGGUGAUAAAUGCAUGAUGAUAAUUUUGUUGAUUAUUUUGGUGAUACUGCAUGUUAUUGAGAGUCAUCCAUCAUGGUGUAUGAGCUUCACUCCAGUUUUGGUAUGCUCUGGUCCUACGGUAGGGAUUCAAGAACGAGUAGCUGGUUCGAGAUAGGAAUCGAUGAAGCAUUGGAACGCCGUGAAAAAUACAGAGUCGCCACCAGAUUUUAUUUAUUCCAAAGGAAAGGAAAAUAGCGAUAAAACCCCAAAUGAGAGAAACGGUCUCGCAACCAAGAGCGGAUUCGGAAGUCGGUUAUGCAAGGGAAAGGUAUUAGCACCCCUCAUAUCCAUGGUACUCCAUGGGAACCACUUGCUCGUAUCGAAUGCGUAUGGAUGUUUAUUUAUCUAUAAAUUGCUUGCUAUCGGGAAUGAGAUGAGAGAAUAAGGUGGGAGAAAAAAAGUUUUAAGUUAGUGUGCUCGCUAAGGAUUUAGGCCAUUGUGCCUACGUAUCCCCAUACGUGCAAUAGGGAAGUCAGAGCUUCGUAAUUUGGCUCAAAAAUGGCGUAUUUGUUUGGUUAUUUUUACUGAACAAUAUUAAUGUUCACGCGUUACUGUUCACUUUCUUGUAUACUCUGUCAUGGGAGCGGAAAGUAUUUGCUUGUUUGCGGUAAAGUGGAUACGCUUGGUUCGCACUCUAGCAGUUAAGCAUUACUUGCUCACACUUGGAGGCUUAAGCUUCGUUCACGGUAGAACGGAAGUAACACGUCCUUAUUGAAAGGUUUUGAAUAGGGUGCACUAAGGCAAAAUAUGAUUUAAUUUGUUGGGGUCGAUUUUAUGCAUGGAGACAAGCAUUAGACCCUUGGCUAGAUACAAUCAACGGUCCAAUAACUCGGGAGUUGAGAGGACAUUAUUGUCCUAAUCACUAUUUUUCAUCCAAAAUAGAGAUUUGAAUUGUGAAAAGAAUUUGGCAAGUUUAAUCGUUGGAACUUAGACAGAGACAAGUCUCUAACCCUUGACUAAGUACGGUCAACGAUCAAAGUACUUGGGAAUCGAGAGGACAAUGAAGUCCUAACUAUUAUUUUUCAUCCUCAUAGCACCUAGAUCUAACUUGUUUGAAUGAUUAUAUGUUUUAAGGGGGAAAGUCAAGUGUCGGGUCCUCAGGCUAGGUACGGCCGACAACCCAAUUACUUGAAUGUUGUGUACAAACACGUACACCCAAUUUGCAUUCCCAUUUGUUAUGAAAAUGGUUUUAAGAAAAGGUACUUAACGUUAGAUCAAGCAUUCAAAUUUAUUAUGAAAAUAGUGAGUGAAGAGUGAAGGUGAGAGAUAGAAUGGAUCGAAAUCAACAUGUGGAAACACAACAACAAACGAGUUAGCAUGAGAUAAAAUCGAAUGAGUGAGAAUGAUGCAACAAUAUGUAAGUACAUACAAUGGUUAGAAUCGAUUCGAAAGGUAAUGGAUUAACCAAUGAAAAACAAUCAAAGAUAUAUCCUACGAUCAUGGAAAGUGGAAUUAGACAUACAAAAUGUUUAUCACCUAAAUUGAAAUGGGAUUUUCAAUUUAAUCAAAAUGAUCAUAAACCAAAAGAAUCGAUUAAAUGGACAAUUAAAGUGAGUACUAAUUCUAAAAAUUAAAAAUCUACCUAAACAUGCAUUAGGAUCACAAUCAAUCGAAUAUGACAUUCACAAUCCAAACUCAAGAAUCAAAUCUAACGACUAUGAUUAUACAAAUCAAAUUGAGUGGAAAUUAACCUAAGUUCUAAUCAUGGAAAAAUCGUACGUUAACCAUAUUAAUCGCAACAUAAAUCCACAAAAUGAAAUAGCCAAAAUCUAAUGACUAAAGCCUAAUCAUGGCAUGCUUAAUCGAAUGAGAAUUAAUUCUGGAAAAUUAAGAAAUUUAAUCUAAUCUAGAAAUGAUUAAACCUGUUAUACCUAAUUAUUCUAACUAAGUCUAAUUAUCCAUUAACCUAAAGAAAAGUGUGUUAAUCCUAAUUACAAAAAAAACAUGAGUUAAUCUAAUUCAUACCAAAACAAUCAGCAUCAUGAUUAACAAGAAAACUGGGAUUAAAAAUGAAUCAACCUAAUUAAAGGUGGAUUAAGCAUGGGUUGAUUAGGAUUAACACCUGUAGCGGUAAAUUCAUGACCAUCAAGCUAUGGAUAAUCUAGACGUCAAUUAAACCAGAGUCGCCACCGCGCUUUUAUUGUUUCCAAGGGAAAAAGGGAAAAGUACGAACAAAACCCAAAAAUAAGAAGUUUUCAAAUUAAAACUAAUAAAAUGCCAGAGAUUACAGGUAAGGGGGUUGGUUACAAAGAGGGAAGGUGUUAGCACCCAAAGUAUCCUAGGUACGCCUAGGGAGCCCUUUUUGUGUGCAUAUGUGUUUUUUGUACAAAAUGAUGUUUGCAAUAAAUAGAGUGAAGGGAUGAGACAAACCUACAAAUCCUCUUAACAACCAAAUCGAAACAAAAAAAAACCACAGCGAAACAAGUUCAAACACAAACCCUAAUUUUGAAAUCAAACCCUCAACAGUAGCGAUUCAAUGCAAUUAACAAGGGGUUUUUAAUCAUUUCAAAAAGGCGAAUGCAAUGGUAUGAAGAUUUUAGGCAAAGAAGAGACAAGAAGACUACUUGAUCAGAGCUGGUCCGACGGCGAUGUCUUCUCCGACGUGAUUCAGAUAAGUCUCCUUCUUCUCUUUAAAUGCUCUCCUUCUUCACCUUCUUCUUGCUCUUUCUUGAUGGUGUUUAUCGUGUCGUUGGUGGUUUGAGCUCUCUUAGGUCAGAGUUUCAGACUGAAACUCUAACUUAAGUUUUAUAAAUUAUUGAGCUUUAGGUAAGGGUUCUGGUGAGUUUUUGGCAGAGUAACAGUGUAUGCGUCUCUUUUUUAUCUGGCGUAAUAGUUUCAUUUAUAGGGCAAGAGUGAGGGAUACGUGUGUAAAAUUCUCCUGAAUGAUGAGCUGGUGAUUUUGGUUAGGAUAGAUCCGUUAGAAGAUCUUGGCACAUCCCAAAUUUUGUGGGAUCCAAUUGUGAGUGGGGAACGACAAUUUUGAUACCUCUGGUGUAUUCUUUUUGUUUGUAAAUUCUUCUUGUGGUCCCCAAACUUGUGAUAUUCGUGAUAGUAAUACUACAAAAUAACUAUUAAUGACUGCUUUCUAUGUUUCCUUACAUCUUCGUGUGAUUCAAUCGCUUUUAUGAUUCCAACUGAUGAUUUUUUUUUCUUUGAAGAAUUAUGGAACAAUAUGUAAUUGAUUUUGAUUAAUAUUGUGAUGCCAUUGAUUUGCUUUCUUACAGGUUAUGUACAUGCUGAUUUAGGAAGUGAUUCGCGCGCUAGUAUACAUUACAACAAGUUAAGGUCUCAUGGUCCCUGAUUGACGAAAAACUUAUUUUCAGCUGGAUGGGUCCGUGGUGCAUUGCCUUGGUCGUGACUUGGUUUCAUCAAUUAGGACUUAGCAUUAUAUUGUUUUAUAAUGAUAAUUUGGGAAUAGACUAUGUACGAUCUCCUAGACUUUAUUCCAAAUUUUGUGAAAAAGAAAAGAAACCAAAUACAUGUGGUACACGUAAACAACCUUUUGGAUUAUCUUAAUCAAUUCGUAUAUACGUUUUAAUUGCAACUUAACUUUAGAACAACCCAACUAAUAGUAAGCAAUGCCUCAUGUAAUUAUUAUGAGACAAAGUGGACCAUGAAUUUUGCAAACUCGGACUUAAUCAGGCAGUCAUCACAAGUAAAAUGACAUUUAAUACUUGCUAACAAGAAAGUGGAUUUGGAAUGUGUCGUAUGGAAAUGACUUGCACCACACAUUAAAAUUGCAAUAUUUAUGAUGAACAUGUUGACAUGAAUGGGCUUUUAAACCAAGAGAUCUUGUGAAUAACCGAAAUGAGCCUUGUAUAACCAAAAAGUCCCAAAAUGCACAUACCACCCCACGCACUGGUAAUAGCUAUAAGAGAUAAACGCAACAGAUUUUUGGGUUACUAACAAGGAACUUAAGAGAUGAAACACCACUGAAAAAAAUGUUGAAAGUUUGAUGACACUGAGAGUCUUUUAGAAUGAACGUGUGAGCAUUGAAUGGAACUUUGGCUAGGCAAGUGAAACCUUACUAGAAAUGAUGGGAAGUUUGGAGUAGCUUAGGGCUGGGAAAACCCUAUGAAAAAAGCUGGUCAUUUUUUAGGGCUGAUGAAGUUUUGAUAAAGUAAAAGCCUCCAAGUUUUGAGUAUAUGUGUCGUGCUUUUUUUUUUCAUGGAUGCUUAACGAAAGUUUUUUUGUUAACUAAACCGGGAAAAAUCAGGGUAUGACAGUGGUGGCUUGUACCAAAUUCACACAUAGGACACACUUUAUGUCCCUUGACGUUGUACCCAAACAAAUUAAUGUAUUCAGGAAAGUCAUUGAUUAUGCAAAAUAACAUGGCACACAGCUUAAAGUUAUCACAUGUAUACACAUCAUCAACAUCAACACCUUCCUCCAAAAAAGUCUUGAAUCUUCAAUCAAUGGCGUUAAAUAAACAUCUAUGUCCUUUCCUGGUUAUUUUGAACCCGAAAUCAUCAUCGAUAACAUCAUAUGUUUGUGAUUCAUGCACAACCAUGGAGAUAGGUUGUAAAUUAUGAAAAGAACAUGCCAUGACGUAUGGUUAGCACUCAAAUACCAAAAGUAAUCAUUUCUUCGGUUGCAAGUCCAAGCCCGACGUUUCUCAGUUCAAGGGCAAAAUCUGGAAACAAGGAAUCAAUAUUAUUCCAUUGCAAUGAAUCAACUACAUGGCAAAUUUUUCCAUCUACAUGCCAUCUAGUAUUCUUUUCCUCAUUUACAUUAGCAAACAAUCUCUUGAACCUUUGAAUUAUCGGUAGGUACCACAUCACCUUGGAAGGAACACACUUUCUAGUUAAACUGUCAUCGUCUUCAACACCAUUUUCCUUCUGCAUGAAGCGUGACUUCCCAUAUUUCGGACACUCCUUCAAGUUUUCAUAUCUUUUUCCUAUAUAAUAUGCAAUCAUUGUGACAUGCAUGUCUUUUGACAUAAUCUAAAUCCAUUGGACAUAAUAUCUUUUUGUCCUCAUAACUACGUUUCGACAACAUGUUACCUUCUGGAAGCAUUUCUUUCAACAAUUCAAGCAAUUUUGUGAAACUUAUAUCCGUUCACCCACCUCCUGCCUUAAGAUUAAAUAGUCUUAACAUAGCUGACAAUCUUGUAAAACUUUCGCAUCUUGGAUACAACGACUCUUUCAUGUCUCUUUGCAAAGUAUCUACCACAUUAGCUUUCUUGAAAGCAUCCACUCCAAUAUCAUGAAUCAUGUCUUUUAGAGUAUCAUUCAUAAAUUCAUCAUCAUCUUCAACUAUAUGUGGUAGAAGUUUUUUUUAUCACUUCACUAUGUCAUAUCCAUUUCGUAUAAUUUUGAAUAAUUUCAUCACAAUGUAAAUGAUUGAAUAUAACAACACUUGGAUGUUUUUGCGUAUUUCAGCAAAUUUUACAAGGACACCAAAAAAAUUCCAUUAUCGUUAGGAAGAUUUUUUUUCGCGAAUUCAAAAAAGUGAAUCACUCCCUAACGAGGCAACAACAUCAACGACGACCAUAAUACCACCACCACCACCAACAACAACAACAAUAACAAUAACAACAAUGACGACAGAAACAAUAACAACAACAACAAUAAAUGAGAAUUUAUACAUACCAGAAAUAUGAUGAGAGACUCUAAGAAAAGUUUUGGUUUGAGGUUCGAGUUUUCUUCCUCCUUGAAGAAUAAUUGUGUUUCAGUUUCGUUUGCUGGAGAAGAAUAGUGUUUCAAUAUCGUUCGCUAGCUAGGGCGCAAAAAAUGAACGAGACUUAAUUAAAUCUAAAGGAAUAAAAAUUAUUAAGAGAGUUUUUAUGUCGAUUUUAUUAAAAAUCCGCAGAACAUAUUCGACGUGAAAACUAUAAAAAAUAAAUGCGCAUUUUUAAUUCUGAAUAAAACAUAAAAUUGCAAGCGCUGGAAAUCGAAAUUCAAACCCAUAAUAACUUUUUAUGUCGAUUUUUGGGAAAACUGAGGUAAAAGAUUAAGUUUUUUUUAAAAAUAAAAUAAAUAAAUGACGCCUUUCAGAUCAUUUGACAUCGAUUUUUCAAUUGUUGAAAUGAAAGUUUCAUCAUAAAAUAUAUUAUUUGUAAUAAUGCAACUUGGUGCUUGUAUCGUCCGACACCCCUGAAAACGGAUGUGGCAGCUCCACGUGUCUAUGUUCUUGCUCUUGUCGUGCAUCCAUCACCAACCGAUUUUAUAAGGCUUCUCAUCUUAGGCCGCCGCAUUGAAUAACCUUACUGUCGCAUCCUCGACUACCACCACUAGUAAAAAAGUAAUUUUAUACUAAUUUUUUUUAAAAAAAUACACCAUUAGAUGACUUUAACUAAAGACCUCGAAUACAAAAAAAAAAAGGGUUUUUACGCUCACAAUAAUCGUAUACUAAAGAAAUUUAGUUAAUUAAAAUUGACUAUUGAAUAUCUCUAAUAUAAGACUCCAGUCUUUAAUUUUUAUCUGUUGUUACUACAUGAGAACUUACUUAGAAGACCUCCGAAAAAUUAAUAAAAACCUUAGUUUCAAACGACUUCGGUACUUUUUCUCAAGGCAAAUUACAGUCCGUGGCUAAAACGUAGCGGUGGAAGAUAAUUGUAGAAAAUUUCCUCGUUUUAAAAUGGAAAGAGUAUGUCUCGAAGUUAUUAAAAUUCCAGUUGGAACACCCUAAAGACAGAGCAGCAAAAAGAAACUCUAAAUCAGUAGGCCCACUACAUAUGCUCCAAAACCAAACUAGAAGCGGUAAUAACAUCACGUGGGUGUAAUCAAGACCAAAUAGUCCCAUCCUUCCCAACCUUGUUUUACUCGUGUCAUCGUUUGUCUCUGUCCACUACUAUCUAUGGCUUUUGCGUGUCCGAAUUUCAACUAUCACCUUUCCACUGUCUCAUUCUCUCCUUUCUCAAAUUCACUAAUUUGUUUAUAGUAAUAUCUCUAUAUAAAACUCUCUAAUACAAAAAAGAAACAAGAGAUCAAGGCCAGGGUACACAAUGAAAACGAUGUUUUGUUUUAUUUAGCCCACUGUAUUUAUUAAUAAAUUAAUAAUUAACAAUCCUCCAACAUUACAAUAGUUAACCAAACAUAUUCUAUAUAUGAUACCAAUCUUCUACCUACUCUCAUCAUAUUCUCAAACAGCAAAAUGAGUUCUCAAGAUUCUCUUUCUCUUCAAUCAACCUUCACUUUACUCUUCUUCUCUUUCACCUUUCUAUUCUCAAUCUUUUCUCUUCUCGUCUACAUCUCUAGAAUUAAACCAUGGUGUAACUGCAACACUUGCAAAACUUACUUAUCUGUGACUUGGUCACAAAACUUCAUAAAUCUUUGCGACUACUACACACAUCUUCUUCAAACCUCACCCACAGGAACAAUCCAUGUCCACGUCUUAGGUAACAUCAUAACCGCAAAUCCAGAAAAUGUCGAAUACAUCCUCAAAACAAAUUUCAAUAACUACCCUAAAGGGAAACAGUUUUCCACCAUUCUCGGCGAUCUUCUCGGCCGUGGCAUCUUCAACGUCGACGGUGAUUCAUGGAAGUUUCAACGCAAAAUGGCGUCUCUUGAACUCGGUAGCGUAGCUAUUCGUUCAUACGCUAUGGAACUUGUCACAGAAGAAAUCAAAACGAGGCUGAUUCCUCUCAUAGCUUCGAAAACUGGUCAAAAUGAUGAUGCUUUUAUGGACAUGCAAGAUAUUCUUAGGAGAUUCUCGUUCGACAACAUUUGUAAAUUCUCAUUUGGUUUUGACCCAUGUUGUCUUGUUCCAUCACUUCCUGUUUCAAAGCUCGCUGACGCUUUUGAUAUCUCAUCAAAGCUUUCAGCUGAGAGAGGAAUGAGUGCGUCACCGUUAAUAUGGAAGAUGAAGCGUUUCUUCAACGUUGGGUCAGAGAAGAAUCUCAAAGAAGCGAUUAAAGUGGUGAACGACUUAGCAAAGGAAAUGAUAAAACAAAAACGAGAAGUUGAAAUUGGAGUUGACUCGCGAAAAGAUCUUCUGUCGCGUUUUAUGGGUUCUUUGAAUUCAAACGAAGACGAAUAUUUAAGAGAUAUUGUAGUUAGUUUUCUUUUGGCGGGUCGUGAUACGGUUGCUUCAACUUUAACCGGGUUUUUUAUUUUAUUGUCGAAGAACCCGGAUGUUGAGAAAAAGAUACGGGUUGAGUUAGACCGGGUGAUGAACCCGGUUCAGGAAGUUGCUACUUUUGAACAGACACGUGAAAUGCAUUAUCUAAGUGGAGCGAUUCAUGAGAGUAUGAGACUUUUUCCAGCGGUUCAGUUCGAUUCAAAGUUUGCUUCAGAGGAUGACGUAUUACCGGAUGGAACUUUUAUAAAGAAGGGAAGUCGGGUUACUUAUCAUCCUUAUGCUAUGGGUCGGAUGGAGACCAUUUGGGGACCCGAUUUUAUGGAGUUUAAACCGGAGAGAUGGUUGAGAGAAGGUGUGUUUGUACCAAAAUGUCCUUUUAAGUAUCCGGUUUUUCAAGCAGGUGCGAGGGUUUGUUUGGGAAAGGAACUGGCUAUUGUAGAGGUGAAGGCUGUUGUUGCUGCUUUAGUGAGACGGUUUGAUGUUCGGGUUGUUGGACCGAAUCAGGAGCCACGGUUUGUACCGGGACUAACUGCCACGUUUGGAGGUGGCUUGCCGGUUAUAUUUUAUGAAAGAAAACAUGAAUCUUAAGAAUUAAGUUAUCGUUAGAUUGUAAUAACUUUAGUAGCUUGAAAACUAUGCGUGAAUAAUUUUGGUGGCAAACAGUAGAUUUUUUUAAUUAUAAAUAUAUGUUUUCUUUUAAAUUUUAAUUUCUUUUUUUCACUAUGACCGUUUAUUAUUUUUUAUAUCAUUAUUUCUAAUUGUUUUAUAAAUAAUUUAAAAUAAAAUUAAAAUUAUAUAAAUUAUGUAACAAGAAUAAAAUAAAUCCUCGAAAUUCGAAAGAGCGGUGGAUGCAACCAAAAAGAAACAAAACUCAUAAGUUUUAGGUUUUAGGAAUUUUGCCUUCAAAUUUCAUAGAAACCGGUCUAUGUUCCACAAUCACAUGGGUGAGUCUAUCAAGAGUAUUCUUGUAGUGUUGGUACUCCCUCAUACUAAGCAUAAAUCUCAUUAAGAGUUUCUAUUAUCUCAUUCUCUUAUCGCUUCAGGAUUCAUGUUUCUCUUAUUUACUCUAUCCUGAUCACCUCAUAUUACUCACAACUAUUUAUUGAGAUCUCCAGUCAUUUAGGUCGAGUUACCAUUAUGAGCAACUCAUUUUUCUAUAGGCAUUAGUCUCAUCUUAUUGGAUGUAUUAUAGACUAUUUCUCUAGCUAAUCCUUUCGUCAAAGGAUCUGCUAAAUUUUCAUCGUUGUGUACAUGAUCCAAUCUUACAACUCCUUUAGAGAUACAGUCUCUAACAAUGUUAUGCUUCCUCCUUUUUUGACGUCACUUGUCAUUAUACUAUCAGUUCUCAAUUUUUUCAAUAGUCACAAUACUAUCGCAGUGGAUCAACACAGUUGACAUAGGAUUUUCCCACACAGGGAUCUCAGAUAACAAUCGUUUUAACCAACUAGCUUCUUCACUAGCAGUCACUAAUGCUAUCAUCUCAGACUCUAUUGUGGACUGAGCCAGGAUAGUUUGUUUCUUUGAUUUCCAAGAUAUAACUCCUUUAGUUAUAUUGAAUAUAUAGCCACUAGUUUCUUUGGAAUCAUCUAAUAAGGUGUUCCAAUUUGCAUCACUGUAUCCUUCAAGUACAACAAGAAAUCUCUGAUAAAGCAAACCGAGAUUGAUGGUCAUUUUAAGGUACCGCAUGACUCACUCAAUAUCUUAUCGAUGCUCAUUACUUGGUCUACUAGUAAACAUGCACAAUCAUCCUACGACAUAUGUAAUGUCAGGUCUAGUACAAUCAAUGGCAUAUCUAAGACGGCCAAUGAUGCUCACGUAUUAUGUUUGUCUGAUACUUUCACCAAUGUUCUUAAACAGUUUUACACUUGGAUCAUAUGGUGUGCUCAUAGGUUUACAGUCAAAGUAUUAUAUUUCUUUAAGAUCUUUUGAUCAUAGUGUGAUUGAUCCAAUGAAAUUCCUUUUUUGAAUAUAGUGAUCUUGAUUCCAAGAAUCACACUCGCUUCUUUGAGGCCUUUCAUCUCAAAGUUGUUGCUCAACAAUGAUUUCACAUCAUUAACAACCUGAAUGUUUGAUCCAAAUAUGAGUAAAUCGUCUAUAUAGAGAUAUAUGAUAAUGAAAAUGUGAUUCUCAAAUCAGUAAUAAACGCAUUUGUCACUCUCAUUCACUUUGUACCCAUUUGAUAUCAUUAAGUUAUCAAACUUUUUAUGAAAUAACUUAGGAGCUUGUUUUAGACCAUAAAUAGACUUAUAUAACUUACAGACCUUAUUUUCUUACCCAUGAAUCACAAACCCUUCCGGUUUGUCAAUAUAGAUUUCUUCUUCUAAGUCACUGUUCUAAAAAGUUGUUUUAACAUCCAUUUGGUGUAACACUAUGUUAUAAAUAGUUGUUAUUGAAAUCAAAACCCUAAUGGAUGUAAUUCGAGUGAUUGGCGAAAACGUGUCAAAGAAAUAUAUAUUUUCUCUUUGCUUAAAACCUUUGGAUACAAGGAGAACCUUUUACUUAUCAGCAGUUCCAUCAGGUUUUAGUUUCUUUUUCAAAACCCAUUUACAACCGAUUGAUUUGCAACUAGAAGGCAAGUCUACUAAGUGUGAGGUCCUGUUAGAUUCUAGAGAACUUAUCUCAUCGUUAAUAGCUUCUUGCCACAAAUCUGCAUCCAGAAAUGACAAGGCUUCUUUGAGAUUUGUUGGAUCUUGUUCUACUGUAUGACGAAGGUGAUGAGAAAACCAGAUAUAUUACGAAUUCGACAAGCUCUUCAUUUCUACUGCAACCUUUUUCUUCUUCUUCAAUUCUUCUUCUUUCUUCUACAUUUUUCUCUAGUAUGUAGGAUCUUGAUGUAUCACUUUGUGUUGCUACUCUUGCUUGAUGCUACGUGAGUGCAUAAUGAGUUAGGAAGAGUUUUGAGCUCAUCUGUUAGAGCUUCCAAUGCUGAAGCUCUACAAUUAUGGUGAUGUGAAUAUGUGGUGAGGGUGAGGAAGAUGAAUUCAGAAGUUGCAGAGAGAUUGAUGAAUUCAGAAGUUGCAGAGAGAUUGAUGAAUUUUUGCAAUGUGAGAAUGGUUCCCCUGAAUGAAGAGGGAAUGCUAUUUAUACAGAGUGAUUUGUGUAACUGAUUGGGGAAAUUAGGCACGCAAAGUUAGGGCAGGUGUUAGUUUUGUUAAGAUUUCACAGUGUAAGUCAGUUAGAAGUUAGAUUUUGUUAUGACUAUGUUAGAUGAGAAUAAUUAAUGACACUUAUAUUAGAGUUAGCUCUGUUUAGCGUUAAUGUUAAUGAACGUUACAAAUUGAUUAAAGUGAAGUUAUUGAGUUGAGUUGAAUGAGUUAGUUUCCCACUGCAUUGCUAUGGAAUGCGGCUGGUUUAUUAACUUUGUGUUGAGACGUUAGUGAAAUGAAAUUGCUUAUGAAAUUGAACUGUUAUUGUUAGUGAAGUUGUUAUGUGAACUUAGAGAUUUGUUUGCAUUUUGAUGAAUGGUUGAAACUGUUUUAAUUGGCUGUGCAACGUUAUAAUGAAUUAACUUGAUUUGUCCAUGAGCUAUAGUUUCUAACUUGAAUGAAUUAGUGGAUAUACUGAUGGUUAAUGCUAGAAGUUAGUUGAAUUUAGUUUAGUGAAUUAUACUGAAUUUGAAAAAUGAAAGUUAGUUAUUUUGAUGGUAAUUAGAGUGAGUUGCUUAUGCUAGGAGGAUAAAUAAUGAAUUUGAAUGCAUGUAUGGAUUGCCAUGUUUAAGUUGUGUAGUGUUAGUUUGUUAAGUUGAAUUCGUUAGCUAUGUACUGCCUUAGCCUUGAUUUGAAAAUUAUGUUAUGCUUUGAAUUUGAAUCAAUUUUAUUGUUAAAAGAUGCAUGUUGUGAUUAAAUUUAUGAUGUUGGCUGCGCAAUUGCAAGGAGUUCCUACUGCAUUGCAAAUGUUAGGUUAGAAAGGAAUUGAAUUGGUUAUUGUAUGAAUGCUAUUUUGGAUUGGCACUGACGGUUAGUGAUUCGUUUGAUUGAAGAGAAAAUUGAAUUUAGUUAUAGCAUUAGUAUUGAUUUGUAAACUAAAGUCAUGCUAGUCCCUUAUAGUUAAUGAAAAUUGAAAGUAACCGGAAUUGUGAUUUAUGGAGCUAGUAUAGAUAUUUCAACUAGGAAUAAAUAGCCAAAUGAUUCGGAAGAAUAGUAAAUAAUUUCUAAGUAUGCUGACUAUUUAGUAAAUGAGUAGAAUUGAGUUUAUUUUGAUAUGGGAAAUAGUUAGUUAAUGUUUUUUUUUUAUUGUUAUGAGUUCAUGUUAAUGGUUAUUUGAUGUUUGGUUAUGAUGUAGGUUUGAUUCUGGUGCAACUUCAUGGUUCUGGCAAUGCAUAGCAACAUGAGGGCAAGAUGGAUGAAGAUCACUUGGAGAUGCAUCAGGGAGUGAACACAGUGUUAUAGUUAGGGUUAGGAUUUGUAGAGUUGAUUUUGGCCAACUGUUUGACCAAAAGUCAACCAUAGGUCAAACAACAAUUUCCCUUGUAAUUUCCACUUUUGAUACCUUUGUAAUGAAUUUUUACACUUGAAUGAAUGACUUGUAACUUGUUUUCCAAGUAACCCAAUUUUACUUCCAUUUCUAAAUUGAAUAUUCUUGAAUUUGAAUGAUUAAAUGCCAUCUUUGAAAUGAAAUAUGAAUCAUGAUGGCCUUGAAUCCCAAUCAAACAAACUAAUGGACUAAUGCACAAACCCAAUAAGAUCAAUUGAAUUCUAUCCAUCCAGGUUGACCUAAUGUAAAUUGUAAUCCAAAACCAAGCUAAUUCCCUAAUGCAAACUGUAACACCCUUCUAAAUACCCCAAAACUAAUAAUUUAAAAUAAUAACAUAUAAUAAUCAGAGUAAUUAUGCCCCGAAGGGUGUCACACGAUCAUCAAACAAUAACCAUCAAAUAGGUCCUGUCAUGUAUUAUUGGAUUUAUUCAUUGGAUACUAAUUUUUAUGGAAUAAAAGUGGAAAUCAGAAAAAGGUCCCAUUGGGUAAACAAGGUUUAUUGUUUUCACGUGGAAAGGAAAAAGAGGGCAGAACGUGGGAAAGGGCAAAAACGAGAACGAGAGGAGACAAGGGAUUGAAGGGAGAAAAGCUUGAAGCUGCAGAAUUAUUGCCGGAUUAACUCAGGUAAGGGGGUUUAUCGUUGAUUAACGGGUAUUGUAUGAUAAUUGUCAUGGGGUAAGUGCUAGACUUUAAAUUACCUUGAAUUUGGAUGAUUAUGAUGAAUUUGUGGAAAUCAAUGAUGAAACGAAAUUGGUGAUAAUCGAAAGAAAUUCGUAGGAAGUGUUAGUGAUACAUGUCAGGAGUUGUGAAAUCGAAUAGGGAAUGCAUUCGGGUUAGAUGAUAUGAGUGAUUUCUGUGUAACAUUUGGACUGUGAAGGUGAGAUCGAAUAGAACUCGUAGCAGGAAAAAUAUAGGCAGAUCUGGAAAUCUGGUUUGCUGGUCUAACGCGUAAGGCACUAGCAAUACGCGUAUGGAGGCUGGUUACGCGUAUGGCGCUAGGCAAAUAGGCGUAUGGAUGAGGAAGAUGAAUUUUGAACGUAUAAAUGGUCUCGGUGUACGCUAUGGGGAAGUGAUAUACGCGUAGCAUACGCGUAUGGAGUUGGGCAAUACGGGCUUGGUCUGGAUUUAGGCAAUACGCGUAUGAGCAUAGCAAUACGCGUAUGGGCAGGAUUGUGAUUUUCCUGUGCUGUUGUUGUGCAGUUUUUGACUGUUUAGGCUGAGUAGUGAGACUUAGCUGAGGUAUGAUGUAAUAGGGAUCAAUUCCCGUUGUUUUGAGUAGUAUAGUUAUUAGUAGAAUGUGCUAAACUGUGUUUGAUUUUUAUGGCAUGUUGUGAUAUGCUUUUGUGAUAAUGUGUUGACAAUAUGUGUUGGUUGGUAUGCUUUAUACUGUAAAUGUAUCAGUUAUGUAUGUUAGUGAAUAGACUGUUUUUUAUGGCUUAGAGUGUGAGCAUAUGUCUAUCUUGAGUUGAUGUUGUUGUUGCAUUGCUAGGUGAUAGCAUGCAUAGUUUAGCCUUUGGGGCUGUAGCUAAUUCCCAUUGUGAGGAAUUAGUGAGUUGUGGAUUGGUUUGAUGCUUGCAUACUAAAUGAGUAGCGUGCAUAGUCUAGCCUUUGGGGCUGUAGCUAAUUCCCAUGGUGAGGAAUUAGUGAAGUGAGUCACUAGAUCUCAAUGAGUGGGAUAGUGAGCUCAGUAGCCGUAUCCAGAGGAUCGGUGAGCUUGAACUAUAUGUUCGAGGAUAGUCGGUACCGCAUGUGUAGAGUCUCAUUGCAUAAUGAAUGCAUGCGCAUAGCCGGUGGGGCUGUAGCUAAUUCCCAUUGUGAGGAAUUAGUGAGUAAAUCGUUGUGUUGUGUUGUUGGUAUGGAGUAUGGGUUGAGAUUAUAUAUAGAUAUAUAUGCUAUAUGUUAUUGCUGGUAUGAUGUUGCGUUGAUACUGCCGUUAUGGAGUGUGUAGUCUGGUUGGGGUGAUUUGAUGCGUCAUUUACUUAACAUUACAUAAUGUCGUAAAUGCCUGUUAUAUUGAUUGAAGAACUCACCCUUACAACUCUUUUUAGGUAACGGACAGUGAGUCGAGUAGAAGCUAAUGAUUGGAGUCUAGUGUAGUCUCCUAUGGGUCAUGCUCUGAUAGAUGUAACAUCGGGUGGGAUGUUUGAAUAUUAUCGAUUGGUUGUGACCAUUUUGCAUGUAAUAUGUUACAUGUUUGGAAUAUUGAAUUGAUUUCUAUCCGCUGCGUAUUAUGCAGAUACUUUAUGUUUUGAAUUAAAUAAAUGAGCAUGACAGGACCUAUUUGAUGGUUAUUGUUUGAUGAUCGUGUGACACCCUUCGGGCAUAAUUACUCUGAUUAUAUAUGUUAUUAUUUUAUUAAAUUAUUAGUUUUGGGGUAUUUAGAAGGGUGUUACAUUAGUGUAAUCAGAGCAUAGUCGGUCGUGUCGAGUCGUAGUUAUUGUUUCCCCUGUACGGAUAGGUUUGUGUAACCUAUCAGUACUUACUAUUUUAGCUUGUUGGAUUAACUCAGAAUAAGAGAUGCGGAAGGAGGUAGAGAUGAUGCCUGCGAUUGCUGAGGCUCUGGUAUGCUAGCUGGAGACUUGAGGAAAUCCGAUGUGGUGGGAAUGGGAGCUGCUCGUCAGUUGAGUGAGUUCCAAAAGAACAAUCCUCCAAUGUUCAAGGGAGGCAUACGAUCCAGAUGGUGCUCAGAAGUGGUUGAAAGGAGAUUGAGAGAACUUCAGAGUAACUGAGUGUGCUGAUAACCAGAAGGUCAGGUUCGGUACGCAUAUGCUGUCAGAAGAAGCUGACGAUUGUGGGUUGCUACCCGCACUGAGUUGGAAACUGCUGGAGAUGCUGAGAUUUCUUGGACUGUGUUCAGGAGAGAUUUCUGAGGAAGUACUUUCCGCGAGGAUGCAGAGGAAAGAAAGAAAUUGAGUUUCUUGGAAUUGAAGCAGGGUAACAGGUCCGUUACGGAGUAUGUAUGCUGCAAGUUCAAGAGCUGUCGAAGUAUUACACUCUAUGCUGAGGCUGCUGGGGAAUUUUCCAAGUGUGGAAGUUUGAGAACGGGUUGCGUCCGGAGAUCAAGCAAGCGAUUGGAUAUCAGAGGAUUAGAGUGUUUUCUGAUCUGGUUGACUGUUGCAGGAUUUUUGAACAGGAUUCCAAGGCCAGAGCUGAGAGCUAUCAGCAGAGGGUUGAUAGGAAAGGCAAGAAUCAGAUUGAUCGUGGAAAACCGCAUACAGCUGGCAAAGGUUUUCAGAGGCAGAGAGUGGGAUGAAAGGCCUGUGGGGGAGACUCUAGUGCUCUUGUUAAGUGUUACCGAUGUGGUCGGGCUGGACAUCGUGUUCAUGAGUGUACCGGUGCUGAGAUGAAGUGUUUCAAGGUGUGGAAAAGGUGGUCAUUUGCUGCAGAGUGCCGGUUGAAGACUGUGACUUGUUUCAAUCUGUGGAAGUUGGGUCAUAUCAGUCCACAGUGUCCAAAGCCAAAGAAGAGAAUCAGUCAGGAGGCAAGGUUUUUGCUUUAUCGGGUUCUGAGAUUCUGCAGAUGAUCGUUUGAUCCGAGGUACGUGUUAUAUUAAUGGCUUUCCUCUUAUAGCUAUUAUUGACACAGUGCGACUCAUUCUUUUAUAUCUUGGAUUGCGCUGUGAACUUAAGUUAGAGAUAUCUAAGAUGUUUGGAGUAUGGUGAUUGAUACUCCUGCGAAGGGUUCACUAACUACUACUUCAGUUUGUCUAAGUUGUCCCUUGAGUAUUUUUGGUAGAGACUUUGGGAUAGACCUUGUGUGUCUUCCACUGGUACAGGUUGAUGUUAUUCUGGGUAUGAACUGGUUGGUGUUUAACCGAGUCUAUAUCAACUGUUUUGAUAAGACAGUGAUAUUCCUGAGAUUGAGGAAGGAAAGAGUUUGUUUCUAUCAGCAAGGCAGGUGAAUGAGGCAGUGGUAGAUGGGGCAGAGUUGUUUAUGCUGUUGCGCGAUGGAAGCUAAAGAUAAACUGGUAAUUGGUGAUAUAGCUGUGGUGUGUGAUUUUCCCGAUGUGUUUCCGGAAGAGGUGAACGAAUUGCCACCAGAGCGUGAAGUGAGUUCUCAAUUGAUUUAGUCCUGGUACUAGACCGAUAUCGAUGGCUCCUUAUCGUAUGUCUGCUGUUGAGCUAGCUGAAUUGAAGAGUCAGUUGGAAGAUUUGUUGGAUAAGAAAUUUAUUCGUCCGAGUGUGUCACCGUGGGGUGCACCAGUGUGUGUUGGUUAGAAGAAAGAAGUACUAUGAGGUUGUGUGUGGACUACAGGCAACUGAAUAAAGUGACGAUCAAGAAUCGGUAUACCUUUACCGAGGAUGAUAAUUUGAUGGAUCAGUUGGUUGGUGCAAGUGUGUUCAGCAAGAUAGACUUGAGAUCUGGGUAUCAUCAGAUACGUGUGAAACUGAAGAUAUUCAGAAGACUGCUUUCAGAACAAGGUAUGGCAUUAUGAGUAUUCUGUAAUGCCUUUUGGCGUGACUAAUGGCGCUGGAGUAUUCAUGGAGUAUAUGAAUAGGAUUUCAUCCGUACCUAGACAAGUUUGUUGUGGUGUUUAUCGAUGACAUUUUGGUGUAUUCGAAAUCUGAAGAAGAGCAUGUUGAGCAUUUGAGAGUGGUUUUGAGAGUUCUACGAGAAAAGAAGCUAUUUGCUAAACUAUCUAAGUGUGAUUUUGGUUAGAAGAAUUAGUUUUCUUGGUCAUGUAUUUCAAGAGGUGGUGUGGCUGUUGAUCCUUCUAGAAAUAGAAGCGGUGUCUAAGUGGGAAGCUCCGAAGUCAGUUUCUGAGAUCAGGAGUUUUCUUGGACUUGCAGGUUAUUAUAGAAAAUUCAUUGAGGAUUUUCCAAGUUGGCGUUACCGUUGACAAUGUUGACUAGAAAGGGGCAAGCGUUUGUUUGGGUUCAAAAUGUGAAGAAGGUUUCCAAGAGUUAAGAGAAGGUUGACUACUGCUCCUAUUCUGAUAUUACCGAGUUCGUCGGAACGUUUGAGGUUUAUUGUGAUGCUUCAUUGUUGGGUUUGGGUGGUGUGUUGAUGCAGAAUAAGCAGGUUAUAACUUAUGCUUCGAGACAACUGAGAGUUCAUGAGAAGAACUAUCCGACGCACGAUUUAGAGUUGGCAGCUGUGGUUUGUUCUGAAGUUGUGGAGGCAUUAUUUGUACGGAUCAAGAUUUGAGGUUUUCAGUGAUCAUAAAAGUUUGAAGUAUUUGUUUGAUCAGAAAGAGCUAAAUAUGAGACAAGAGGAGAUGGUUAGAAUUUCUGAAGGAUUAUGAUUUUGGUUUGAAUUACCAUCCGGGUAAAGCAAAUGUAGUGGCUGACGCAUUGAGUAGGAAAUCAUUGCAUAUGUCUAUGUUAAUGGUUAAGAAUUGGAUUAAUUGAGCAGUUUAGAGAUUUGAGUUUGGUGUGUGAAAGUACUCACAAAGUGUUAACUGGGAAUGUUGAAGUUAACCGAGUAGUAUUCUGGAUGAGAUUGAGAGGGUCAGAAAUCUGAUAUGCUUUUGGUGGAUAAGUUGACUUUAGUGAAUCAAGGUCAGGGUGGUGAAUUCCGAGUUGAUGGGAAUGGUGUUUUGAGAUUUGUAAUGCGGUGUGUAUUCCAGAUGUACAGACUUAAGAAGAGUAUUCUUGAAGAAGGACAUCGUAGUGGUUUGAGUAUUCACCCUGGAGCUACGAAGAUGUAUCAUGAUUUGAAAGGUUAUUUUGGUGGCCGGGAAUGAAAAGAGAAAUUGCGAGUUUUGUUUAUUCCUGUUUGACUUGUCAGAAGUCAAAGAUUGAGCAUCAGAAGCCGUCUGGGCUAAUGCAACGUUGGCUAUUCCGAGUGGAAGUGGGAUAGUAUCAGUAUGGAUUUUGUUGCUGGUUUGCCGAGGACAAAUAAGAAUUUUGAGGCUUAUUUGGGUGAUUGUUGAUAGAUUGACGAAGUCGGCUCAUUUCAUUCGAUCAGAAUGGAUUAUCCGUUAGAGAGUUGGCUGAGUUGUAUAUUGAGAAGAUUGUAAGUUUGCAUGGUAUUCGUCGAGUAUUGUUCGGACAGAGAUCCUAGAUUUACAUCAAAGUUUUGGGAUGGGUUGCAGAGAGCCUUGGGAACUAAGCUGAGAUUGAGUUCUGCAUAUCACCCGCAGACUGAUGGUCAGACUGAGAGGACGAUUCAGUCAUUAGAAGAUCUUUGAGAGCUUGGUGUUUGGAAAAGGAGGUGCUUGGGAUUGUUAUUUGCCUUUGAUUGAAUUUACCUACAACAAUGUUUUCAUUCGAGCAUUGGUAUGCACGUGUUGAAGCUUUGUACGGUAGGAGAUGUCGGCGCGCUUUAUGUUGGUAUGAGUCCGGUGAGAGUGCUGUGGUUGGACCGGAAUUGUUCAACAAAACUACGGAAAAGAUUAAGAUGAUUCAGGAGAAGAUGAGAAUUGCUCAGAGUCGUCAGAAGAGUUAUCAUGAUAAGAGGAGAUCACUUGAAUUCCAAGAGGAGAUCACGUGUUUCUUCGUGUUACUCCGAUAACGGUGUUGGUCGAGCUUUGAAGUCGAAGAAGCUGACCCUCGAUUUAUUGGUCCUUAUCAGAUUUUGGAGAGAUAGGAGAGGUAGCCUAUCGUAUCGCCUUACCACCGUCGCUUGCGAAUUUGCAUGAUGUUUUCAUGUGUCUCAGUUGAGGAGAUACAUUCAUGAUCCGUCGCAUGUUGUCCAAGUAAGAUGAUGUACAGGUGAGAGAUACCUGACUGUUGAAACAUCACCUAUGAGGAUCGAGGAUCGAGAGUUGAAGCAGUUGCGGGGUAAGAGAUUGCCUUGGUGAAGGUAGCUUGGGGAGGACCAGCAGGUGGCAAUGUGACUUGGGAACUUGAGAGUCAGAUGAAGGAGUCUUAUCCGGAGUUGUUCGCUUGAGGUAUGUUUUCGAGGACGAAAACUCUUUAGUGGGGAAGAGUUGUAACACCCCAACUAAAAUAAGCUAUAUAUUUAAAUUUAAAUAAUAUUUUUAUUAAUUUAAUUGAAUAAUUGGAAGUUUGGAUUAAUAUUAUUAUUUUUGGGAAUAAUAAUUUAUUGGGAUUAUUAUAUUGGAUUAUUAUUUUAUAAUUGGAAUAAAAGUGGAAAUCAGUAAAAAGGUCCAUUGGGUAAAAGGUUUAUUGUUUUCACGUGGAAAGGAAAAGAGCAGAACGUGGAAAAGGGCAAAAAGAGAACCAGAGAACAAGGGAUUGAAGGGAGGAAAAGCUUGAAGCUGCAGAAUUUGCCGGAUUAACUCAGGUAAGGGGGGUUUAUCGUUGAUUAACGGGUAUUGUAUGAUAAUAUGUCAUGGGUAGUGAUAGACCUUUAAUUUACCUUUGAAUUGGAUGAUUAUGAUGAAUUUGUGGAUAAUUGAUGAACGAAAUUGGGUGAUAACGAAAGAAAUUCGUAGGAAGUGUAUGUGAUAAUGUCAGGAGUUGUGAAAUCGAAUAGGGAAUGAUUCGGGUUAGAUGAUAUGAGUGAUUUCUGUGUAAAUUUGGACUGUGGAAGGUGAGAUCGAAUAGAACUCGUAGCAGGAAAAACUAUAGCAGAUCUGGAAAUCUGGUUUCUGGUCAUGACGCGUAUGGCACUAGGCAAUACGCGUAUGGGAUGGCUGGUACGCGUAUGGCGCUAGGCAAUACGCGUAUGGAUGAGGAAGAUGAAAUUUUGAACGUAAAAUGGUCUCUGGUGUACGCGUAUGGGGAAGUGAUACGCGUAGCAUAACCGUAUGGAGUUGGGCAAUACGCGUAUGGCUUGGUCUGGAUUUAGGCAAUACGCGUAUGAGCAUAGGCAAUACGCGUAUGGGCAGGAUUGUGAUUUCCUGUGCUGUUGUUGUGCAGUUUUUGACUGUUUAGGCUGAGUAGUGAGACUUAGCUGAGGUAUGAUGUAAUAGGGAUCAAUUCCCGUUGUUUUGAGUAGUAUAGUUAUUAGUAGAAUGUGCUAAUACUGUGUUUGAUUUUAUGGCAUGUUGUGAUAUGCUUUUGUGAUAAAUGUGUUGACAAUAUGUGUUGGUUGGUAUGCUUUAUACUUAAAUGUAUCAGUUAUGUAUGCAUUAGUAGAAGACUGUUUUAUGGCUUAGAGUGUGAGCAUAUGUCUAUUCUUGAGUUGAUGUUGUUGUUGCAUUGCUAGGUGAUUAGCAUGCAUAGUUUAGCCUUUGGGGCUGUAGCUAAUUCCCAUUGUGAGGAUUAGUGAGUUGUGGAUUGUUGUUGAUGCUUGCAUACUAAAUGAGUAGCGUGCAUAGUCUAGCCUUGGGGCUGUAGCUAAUUCCCAUGGUGAGGAAUUAGUGAGUGAGUCACUAGAUCUCAAUGAGUGGGACUAGUGAGCUCAGUAGCCGUUCCAGAGGAUCGGUGAGCUUGAACUAUAUGUUCGAGGAUAGUCGGACCGCAUGUGUAGAGUCUCAUUGCAUAAUGAAUGCAUGGCAUAGCCGGUGGGGCUGUAGCUAAUUCCAUUGUGAGGAAUUAGUGAGUAAAUCGUGUGUGUGUGUUGGUAUGGAGUAUGGGUUGAGAUUAUAUAUAGAUAUAUAUGCUAUAUGUUAUUGUUGAGUAUGAUGUUGCGUUGAUACUGCCGUUAUGGAGUGUGUAGUCUGGUUGGGGUGAUUUGAUGCGUCAUUUACUUAACAUUACAUAAUGUCGUAUAAUGUCUUUAUAUUGAUUGAAGAACUCACCCUUACAACUCUUUUUCAGGUAACGAGCAGUGAGUCGAGUAGAAGCUAAUGAUUGGAGUCUAGUGUAGUCUCCUAGUGGUCAUGCUCCUGAUAGAUGUAACAUCGGGGUGGGAUGUUUGAAUAUUUUAUCGAUUGGUUGUGAACCAUUUUGCAUGUAAUAUGUUACAUGUUUGGAAUAAUUGAAUUGAUUUCUAUCCGCUGCGUAUUAUGCAGAUACUUUAUGUUUUGAAUUAAAUAAAUGAGCAUGACAGGACCUAUUUGAUGGUUAUUGUUUGAUGAUCGUGUGACACCCUUCGGGGAUAAUUACUCUGAUUAUUAUAUGUUAUUAUUUUAAAUUAUUAGUUUUGGGUAUUUAGAAGGGUGUUAGUUUGCUUAGGNNNNNNNNNNNNNNNNNNNNNNNNNUGUUCUGCAUUGCUAGGUGCAUUAGCAUGCAUAGUUUAGCCUUUGGGGCUGUAGCUAAUUCCCAUUGUGAGGAAUUAGUGAGUUGUGGAUUGUUGUUUGAUGCUUGCAUACUAAAUGAGUAGCGUGCAUAGUCUAGCCUUGGGGCUGUAGCUAAUUCCCAUGGUGAGGAAUUAGUGAGUGAGUCACUAGAUCUCAAUGAGUGGACUAGUGAGCUCAGUAGCCGUAUCCAGAGGAUCGGUGAGCUUGAACUAUAUGUUCGAGUGAUAGCGUACCGCAUGUGUAGAGUCUCAUUGCAUAAUGAAUGCAUGGCAUAGCCGGUGGGGCUGUUAGCUAAUUCCCAUGUGAGGAAUUAGUGAGUAAAUCGUUGUGUUGUGUUGUUGGUAUGGAGUAUGGGUUGAGAUUAUAAUAGAUAUAUAUGCUAUAUGUUAUUGUUGAGUAUGAUGUUGCGUUGAUACUGCCGUUAUGGAGUGUGUAGUCUGGUUGGGGUGAUUUGAUGCGUCAUUUACUUAACAUUACAUAUGUCGUAUAAUGUCUGUUAUAUUGAUGAAGAACUCACCCUUACAACUCUUUUUCAGGUAACGAGCAGUGAGUCGAGUAGAAGCUAAUGAUUGGAGUCUAGUGUAGUCUCCUAGUGGGUCAUGUUCUCUGAUAGAUGUAACAUCGGGGGUGGAUGUUUGAAUAUUUUAUCGAUUGGUUGUGAACCAUUUUGCAUGUAAUAUGUUACAUGUUUGGAAUAAUUGAAUUGAUUUCUAUCCGCUGCGUAUUAUGCAGAUACUUUAUGUUUUGAAUUAAAAUAAUUUGGGCUAAUCCCAAUAAUUAUUAUUCCCAAAAAUAAUAAUAUUAAUCCAAACUUCCAAUUAUUCAAUUAAAUUAAUAAAUAAAAUAUUAAUUUAAAUUAAAUAAUUAGCUUAUUUUAGUUGGGGUGUUACACAAACUACCUACCAAAACCCAGGAAUUAGGGUUUCAUGCUUCAUUCUAUAAUCAAGAAAUCCAAGACGAAAGAUAAUGAAGUCCCGUAGCUUGAUCCACAAAUACAAAUAUAUCAUGGAAAAAUCUUGGCUUAGGACUCAACCUUCAUUUAAUGCUUUGUAUGAUAGAUAUCAAGACCUUUGAAUCUAUGAUUUUGUUUCUUAAUGAAAAUGGAAGAUAUGAAUGUACUAUGAUGCUAAUGAAUAUGCAAAUGAAUCACAAAUCAAAAGUCAGAUUAAAAUGAAGAUGGAAGGGCAAAUUUUGGAGUAUGACACUAAUCAACUACGAGAUAGAACAUUCAUGGUCGAAAGUUGGAGCGUUAUAGAAGAUGAUUUGAGCAACGGUGUCCAUAACUCCAUGAAUUCAAGUGACUGGAUAUCAAAAACUAUUUCUUCUGAUCCUAAGGGUAGAGGAGAGGAUUGCAACAAUAACCAAAAAAUGAGCUUAGUGGAUCCCUUAAGAGUCAAGCUUUUAUGUUUGAAAAAAGGAGGAUUGUUGGAUUGCAAUAGGCCAAGACAAGGAAUGUCGCAAAAGUUAUUGAAGAAAAGAUCAUGUCAAAUGUAUUUGUUGCAAUGUAGGAACACAUGAAUACAUAUGAGCAUUAACUUCUUAUUGAAGAGAAAAUCCUAAAGCAUAAAUCAAAGGUUUGUUGGGUGAAUGUUGGUGAUGAAAACAAUAAGUAUUUUCAUGUUGGCUUACGUAAUAAGGGUGGCCAAUAAGAAGCCGACCAUGUGAGAUUAUGAAUUCCAAAAUCAGACCAUGUUUACAUAUAAAAAACUAGAGUUAUUACAAUGUCGAUCAAAGUGUUAGGGAUUUUAAGACAAAUAUCCGGUUUUACCCCUAAUCUUGCUCAGUUAAUCUCGCAAUGAAAUGUCAGACUUCGAUGGUUUGAAAACUUUUCUUUUAUGUCAAUAAGCUGACCUUUAUUAAGUGAAUAGAAUGAACAAAAUAUUACUAUGGUAACAUUAUCUAGAUUUGUAUUUAAUGGCUCUGAUACUAGUACAUGAAGUUUUAGUGUCAUAGAGGGAAUAAUAAGGUAGGAAGAAAUGAAAAAUAUCCUAAGCUUCUUAGCGAUUACUAUUUGUAUAAAAAGACAUGUCCACAUGACCAACUUACUUGCUCGCAUUUUCUUCUUACAGGUCACACCUGGGUUGAGGUAAACAAAGUAGUACAACAAUGCUGACAUGCCGAGGAAAGUAGACUAUGGUAGCAAUCGCCUCAUGAUGGCAAAAUAGCAAAACAUCUAAACGAAUAAUGUCAAACAAUUGAUAGAAGUCACCUCGUGGUGCGAAGACAUCAUCAACAGUCAUUUGAAACGAUGUCAUUACCAAACCAAGUUCAAAAGUAUCUCCUUUUUAUUUUUUCAUUGAAUGCAUUCAGUGGCAUAUACAACAUUUCUUAUAUUCACCAUUGCAACAAUAUGGUUCUUAGGCUCUGGCUUCUAUUUAUUACUUCUAAUUGUUUGUUACUUCUGUUGGAAAAUCGAGCCUUAUGGUUAUUCUCCAACAUACUACAUUUUCCCUUACUCUUCUUAUACUGUUCAUAAUUACAACAUGAUUGGAUGUGCAAUUUUAUAUUUUUUUCCAGGAAAGUUUUCAUCGCAGAACGACAUCGAAGUUGCAGUUUAUGGUAUAUCAAGUUGGUUUUACUAUGGAUAAAAUAAGGAAUGUUUCUGACUUCCUUACUAAAUCUAAGAAAGUGGGAAUUUGUUGAAUUGUAAUUCCUUGUUUCGAAGUAGAUUUCUCAACAGAAGCAAGAAAGUUUCAAAUCACCUAGUUUGUCGAGUUGUAUUAGUGUGUCGAAGUGUCGAAGCAUGUUGAUACACACAGGAUUUUGCCUUAGGCCUAUUUUUGUAGUGUUAACUAUUUUGGGCUUUUAUAGUUUUGGGCUUUGGCUUAGAGAGUAAGUUAAUCUAAAUCAAUAAAUAAAGGGAGUAACCCAUAUUCUUGUAAGAGAGAACUCAGAAUAUUAUAUUCGCCGAAUUUUGCGGUUCCAAAGUGAAUAAAGAAGUUUUCCACAAUUUGUGGACAAAGAGAAAACUCUGUAGACAAUAUUAUUCUUCCUCUCUAAUGUUUUUUUUUCUUUCUUUCUCAAUUGUUCUUUUCUUUUCAUUGUCAUUGUGUGGGUGAUAGUAAUCUUGUUCAUCAAGAUUGAUAGAAAUUCUCCAUAGGUUGUAGUGGAUUUCCAACAUCUGGUAUCUAGAGCUCCAGUUUAAGCGAUUCGUGGGAAGAAAAUCACGAUGGCAAUGAAUCAUCCAAAUUGGAAUUUUCCAGCGAACCUUCUGAUUCUCAAGAACAAUAAUAUUGAGAAUUGGUGCAAGCAAAUAAAUGUCGUGUUUUGUUAUCAAGAUCUUUGGGAUCUUGUGAAGGAAGGAGUAACAACGCUUAUAGAAAACGAGACAGAUCAAAAAAAGGUUGCACAUAAAGAAUUGAAGAAGAAAGAUUAUAAAUCUCUCUUUAUAAUCUAUCAAUAUGUUGAUCCAGAUACCAUUGAAAAGGUUGGUGAUGUAGAGUCUGAUAAAGAAGCAUGGGAAAUUCUGGAGAAGUCGUUUGGAGGCGUGGAGAAGGUGAAAGAGGUGAGGUUACAAACUCAUAAAAGGACGUAUGAAUUGCUUCAUAUGGAAGACAAUGAAAGCUUAACUGAUUUCUUCACUAAGGUUACGAAACUGGUGAAUCAAAUCAAGGUAUAUGGAGAAGUAUUGACAUCAAAAUCCAUUGUUAGAAAGAUCUUGAGGUCGUUGGCUCAAAAGUUCGACCAUGUGGUAGUAGCCAUAGAAGAGUCGAAAGAUUGUCAAAACUGACAAAGGAAGAGCUUCAAGGGACGCUUAAAUCACAUGAAUAAAGAAUGGUUGAAAGAGCUGCAGGAAAGUCGAAGAGUGAUAUGGCUUUGCAGGUGCAAUCAACAAAAGAAAUGAAAGGCAAAGGAAGAUGAAAUUAGUGGCAUACUUGUUAAAUUAUCCAAGUUGGAGCCCUUCUCAUGGAAGAUGUAUUUUAUUAAGGAUUCAUACUUGUGAGUGAAUGGUUGAGUGUUAUCCAAAUAUUGACUUAAUCAAUUAAAAAUCACCACUAAUAUUUGACUAACUUUUGACUAACCAUUGACUAACUCUUAUUCAUUAUGCUUUUACUUUCAAGUCAUUUACUUUAUGCAAUUUAAUUUCAGUCAUUUAUCAUCCAUUGCCAUUUACAUUCCAUAUAACUUAUUUAUGUUUCAAGUCAUUUUCACUUUGCUCAUUUGAGUCAUAUCUUGUGAUUGUAUAUAUUGUUUGCUUGAUUUUGGUUUUGUUUAUGAUCUUAGGACCUUAAAACACAUAAUAACAACAAAAACCCUAAAAAAACAUUUGGUGGACUGUUGGAUUUGAUCUGAACUUUUGGACUUAGAGUUAGGCAACAUUCCCUAUGCUAAAAGGACUUGGCCAAUGCCAACAUUUGAGACUGAGUUAUCUGUAAUUGUGCCUUCAUCUGAUGCAAGACUUGAGGAUUCAUUAGGUUCAUCUACUACUCUGUCUUUGUGCUUAAUUGUUAUUUUGAUCUUGUGUCUGAUGUUUUGUUCUAAGUUGAUCAAGGAAUAUUUCAUCUGAUACAUUGGAAGACAAUGAAGACUGCUAGAUAUUGGAGUGCUUGCUUAGAUGUGGCCAUCUUUAUUUGAUGCCUUGAUCUUCAUGAUGUCUGGAUAUUUCUCAUUGCUUAUUGAUUAUUGCUUGAUUAAAGUCCAAAGGAAAAUGGGUUUCUAAAUGACAUUAUUGAAAUUCUGGUGUAGUCAGAGUUCAGAUGUUCUACUCCAAGUAAUGACAUCUGAUCCAACAUUGUUACUAAUACAACAAGACAAUUAUACAAAUUAAAACCCAGUACUGAUAUGCACACAUUCACAGAUGUCACGACAUCUGCUACUAUAUCACCAUAGAAUGGAAGAACACCCAGUUCUGUCCAUCUGGUACAAAGACACAGCAGAGAUCAACAUUGGAUGUUAUGACAUCCAAUUAUGCGCAGACAAGAAUGAUGCAAAACUUAAAUUUAAAGUGCAGUAAAUAACACAAGGAAUUGGUGAAGUAAUUUCAAUCUAAACUAAGACCAGAGUUCCUACUCACUCCCCCUCAAUCACCUCAGUGAUUACAGCCUUUAAUUAAGUUUACAGACAAUGGUGAAGUAAUACUUCAAACAACUCUUGAUUGUGCUUAACAGCUUUAAUCAAGAUACACAGCACUCACGCUUAAAAGCUUAGAGUGACACAACACUUACAGCUCAAUGAACACCCUAGUCCAAUGCAAUCAUCUAGGUGAUAAUUGCUUGGCUCACAAGAUACACCUAAUACAAGACACACAUAAAAUACAGCAGUGAAGUAUGAGGGUACAAUGAAAGCUUCACGCCUAAAAUCCCUGAGUUCUGAAAGAAGGAUUGCCAUCCUUUUAUAUUGCAACACUUGGGCCUUGUACUUGUAUUUCCUAAAAUUAAGGUUAAGCAAGUUAACCUAAUUUCCACAUAUUAGGGUGCUAAAAAAUAGGCUAUUUGUUAGGUUCAUUAAUUGUAGCUCAGUUGUUAGUUUCUUGGAUUUUAGCUCAGCUGUUGGAUUCCUAAAGAAUAGCCUGAGAAAAAUACUGAAACAGAAAAACUAACCAUCCUACACCUUAGCAUAUGCUGUCAGGAAUGAAUGUCACAACAUUCAGUUUGACGUCCAGAACAUAGACCAUAUGCUAAGUCUGUUAUUUUCCUGAAAACAGACUGUACUAAAUGUUGUACUGUAAAAGACCAACCAGUCUAUACUUCAGUAUCAACUNNNNNNNNNNNNNNNNNNNNNNNNNNNNNNNNNNNNNNNNNNNNNNNNNNNNNNNNNNNNNNNNNNNNNNNNNNNNNNNNNNNNNNNNNNNNNNNNNNNNNNNNNNNNNNNNNNNNNNNNNNNNNNNNNNNNNNNNNNNNNNCACUCACGCUUAAAAGCUUAGAGUGACACAACACUUACAACUCAAUGAACACCCUAGUCCAAUGCAAUCAUCUAGGUGAUAAUUGCUUGGCUCACAAGAUACACCUAAUACAAGACACACAUAAAAUACAGCAGUGAAGUAUGAGGGUACAAUGAAAGCUUCACGCCUAAAAUCCCUGAGUUCUGAAAGAAGGAUUGCCAUCCUUUUAUAUUGCAGCACUUGGGCCUUGUACUUGUAUUUCCUAAAAUUAAGGUUAAGCAAGUUAACCUAAUUUCCACAUAUUAGGGUGCUAAAAAAUAGGCUAUUUGUUAGGUUCAUUAAUUGUAGCUCAGUUGUUAGUUUCUUGGAUUUUAGCUCAGCUGUUGGAUUCCUAAAGAAUAGCCUGAGAAAAAUACUGAAACAGAAAAACUAACCAUCCUACACCUUAGCAUAUGCUGUCAGGAAUGAAUGUCACAACAUUCAGUUUGACGUCCAGAACAUAGACCAUAUGCUAAGUCUGUUAUUUUCCUGAAAACAGACUGUACUAAAUGUUGUACUGUAAAAGACCAACCAGUCUAUACUUCAGUAUCAACUUACAGUAAUAAAUGUCAUAACAUCCAGUUUGACAUUUUGACAAUGAGCCUUAUGCCAGGUCUGUUAUCCUCCUGAAGAACAGACUGAAAUAAAUACUGAACUGAAGCAGAAAAACCAACCUACCUAUUAUUCAGUAUAUGUUGUCACUGAUGAAUGUCAUAACAUCCAGUUUGACAUUCAGACAGUAGGCCUUAUGCUAGGUCUGUUAUCCCCUUGAUAAACAGACUGAAUUAAAUACUGAGUUAUAACAGACAACCAACUAUUCUAUUCCUUAGUAUAUGCUGUCAGGGAUGAAUGUCAUAACAUCUAGUUUGACAUUCAGUAAAUCCUGUAUUGAAUGACUGUCAUAACAGAACAGAAAAUCAGCCUGCUGUUAGUUUCCUGAAAAUCAGCCUGAGAUAAAUAACAGAAAAACUAACUGGCCUGUCAGGAAUGAGUGUCAUAACAUUCAGUUUGACAUUCAGAGAAUGCUGUCAUGAAUGACUGUCAUAACAGAACAGAAAAUCAGCCUGAACUAAAUACUGAACUAUAACAGAAAAACUGACUAGUUUAUAAUUCAGUAUUUGCUGUCAGGGAUGAAUUUCAUAACAUCCAGUUUGACAUUCAGUAAAUCCUGUAUUAGCUAAUCCUGCAGCAUACUACUUAAGCAUGUCAUGACAUCAGUCAAGACAUCUAAGUACAGUAAGUGUUUUAACACAAAAUGCAGCCAAUCAAAAACAUCUACAAACUCCCCCUUUGGCAAAUUUUUGGCUAAAACAACUUGGCAUCACAACAGAGUUCAUAGCAGCGAAAAACACACAUCCAAUCAGAGAAUCAAGUUAGCUAAUACACUAAUCACACACAGAAGAUAAACUUCACACAACAGCAGCACAUAGAAGAUAGCAAACAGCAGCAUAACCUCUUGUUUUAGAGGACCUUCAUCUUCACAGAAAUCUGUUGUCAUGGGGUACAUGUGUUACUCCCCCUUUUUGUCAAAAAUGUUGCCAAAGCAACUUAAUAUUACAGACCAAAACAGACAAAAUUACAAGUAAAUUUCAGAAACACACACUUGAUUUUACUUCACAGUUUCAAUCAAGAAUACACACUCUUGAUCUUGCUUUACAACUUUGAUCAAGACUACACCCACUUGAUCUUGCUUCACAACUUUGAUCAAGUAGACCCACACUCUUGCUUCACAGCUUUAGAGUGACGAGUUUCAGCCACAAAUCAGAUCUUCAAUCAAACACAGAUUGCCAUUAAGUGUGCAAUCACAAAACACCAAACAUUCAUACUGAAUGUUCUGUGUAUAGGGUGUCAUGACAUCGGGUCUGACAUUCUGGAAAAUUCCUGCAUAAUUCCAUAAUUCCUUUUAUAACUUCCAGCAGGUACAAUCAUAUCAGAUGCCAUGACUUUGUGUAUGACUUCUUGAAACACUUCUGCAUGAACAUGUUCUUGAACUCCAGUAGGUACAUAGGAUAUCUUAUGUUAAGACAUCACACAUAACAUCUUGUGAACGCUCUUUGUUUUACCAAAAUUGCUCCCCCUUUGGCAAAUUUUGGCUAACACAUAUAUCUUUCCUUUUUGUUCACAAGGUAAACUAUCAGCAGUUAAACAACAUAACAGUAGUUUAAACAGCAGUAGAAGCAACACAAUUACUAGCUUUAUAGUUACUAGUAAUACACACAUGCACAAGGGUACUUCUCCUCCCCCUAAAUCUGUGCAACAAAAACAGAAUUACUAGUUAAGGAUGCAACUAGUAAGACGCACAAACACACAGGCUCAUUCUAAUAUAUCAUAAUGAGACACACCACAUCCAUAUUUCCUUAAGACUGUAAGUUUCAGAAGGAAAUAACAAUAUUGUCCAAGGCAAUGUCAUGGCAUCCGGUCAGACAUUCUUCUGCUCACUCAGCCUUGACACACACCACAUCAUCUCAAUAACUAACAAGGUGCCAUACCUUGUUAUCUGAGAACACAUAGACCACAAGCUUGAUGAUUACUUGCAGCACAAAGACAAAACUCCCCCUAUCAUGAACAACCAACUCUCCUCUUGAAACUUGGAGAUCACACAUGAACAUAUCCAACACCCCAAAGUUGGACCUUCACAUACUUCCUGAUUCAAAGAGAACCCAGACCACUUGAUGAAUGGAAAACAUAAGACGCAUCUUCAUGUCUUCAAGAGCACACCCUCUGUUCAACCCUCUUGGCUGAACACAUCCACACUCUGUGUCAAUCUCUCUUCUAACCAGAACAGAAAACCACUUCACAAAAUGUUCUAACAUUAGUUAGGACAUCCUUCACAACAUAACAAAGAACACCAUCUGAUAAUCUUCAGAUAUCACUGAGUCACCAGCUUGAUCCAAAAGAAACCAGACACAAAUUGGGACAUAUACAUUCUCAUCCCAUUACAAGAGAUAAUCUUCCAUAGAUAGCUCAGAACUCCUACCACAAGCUCCAAGAGAUGAAUAGAAAACACCUCCUUUUGUCUUCAACUUACUACUUUUCUGCUCAAAAGUAAUUUGUCUCAGACUUUCCUCAAGAAUAAUCAGCUGCCAUAUGUUGAUUAUCUUGAUUCUUCGAACUCACUUCUGAGAUAGACCAAAUGCCACUGGUUGAUUACCUCCUUCAUGAAUCCUCAUAUGAAAAAGUCAAAUGCCACUUUUUGACCUCUCCAAGUUUAUCAGACUUCUCCCAAAGAUAUUCUGACCUUCCAAGUGAGACUUGAACUUCAAGCUACAUGUUAAACAAAACUUAGAUUCUCUAAGACAUGAACAUGUAACAUCUUCUCCAUCCAGCAACUCCAAAGAACUGCAAUGAGAACGAUCUUUUUGAAGUACCCAAUCUACAACUCUGUAGACCCUUCUAUCUUAAGUUGAUGUGCCACUUCACCAACUAAGAUUCUGAUGUUGAACCAAAUGUCACAACAUUGUGUUUUAACAUCUAGCUGUUGAAUUCAGCUCCUUCUUCUGCCACUUGAAAGAACUUCCUCCCUACACAGAACAAGAGUUCAAUGCUCUCAUAGACUUGAUUGUGGAACCAAGUUUGAGUAAACAACCUCCAUCCUGCAGGUUUGCAGUUAAGUCAUCCAAGCUCACACCUUGAUGAAUCCCUGCUUCUUCUCCAAAGACAUCAGACACUCUGAUGCAUGAGUCUUCAGAAGGACCAGUUAGAGACUAACCCUUCAGCUAUACCAAGGAUUCCACUUCCUAAAGCAAGGUUGUUUCCAUGAUGUCAAGAAUGCUGCCACUUGUUCUUAACUCCACAGUGUGCAUUAGCCAAUGCACUUCCUUACCUAGAUCAGAAAUAAACUGAUCCAAGUAACCACCAUCAAGACUAUGAUGUCUUCUUCUUCUUGUACACACCAAGGCUGAACAUGUUUCUUGCCAGGAAACCUUUUCAGAGAUCAUAUGCUUUUGCUGCCACCAAAGAGAUAGAUCAUAAACCAAUGUACUAUCCUUCCUGUGAUUCUGCACAGGGUCUUGAAGAAGAGAUGUUCCAACAUCUUUAAGAACAUCAGUUAUCUUGAGCUCCAAGGAUAAUCAAUUAAAUACUUGUACUUGGCACAAGUAGACAUUGAUCUUAAAUCCUUUCCCAAUUAUCCUUUCAGAUACUUCCACCAUAAGAAUACUUUGAAAGUACUCUUCUUGUGUCAACAUCUUCUGCUUGCAAGCACCUCAACAAUUUUGAAAGUCUUCCCAGAUUAAAUUCACCCUUAGGAAUGAGAGAGAUGAAUUCUUCCUUGCAAAUGUGUCACACAACCACCAGAACCCAUGUGACACAGGUCAACAGCCAACCAGACCCUAGGCUGACCAGACUUGAGGAGGUUAACCAAAACUCCCCCUCAACUUAACAAUCAUGGAUACUCCACACCAAUAUCCAUGCAUUGUACACAUAUGUCUCAACAUGACAUACACUAUCCCUACCAGUGGCAACUAACUCCUCCAAUCAGACUCCAGCUGACCAUAAGUACUAGUGAGACACACAAUACCAGUCGAUAGUAGUUAUGCAUUGCCAGGGCAUACUACUUCAACCAACCUCUGAAUCUUCAUAUUCUUACUCCUUGACAGAACUGCCACUUCUGCACGUGGUGUUUGAAUAACAUGAUUCAUGGUUCCAAUCCUCAUAGAUGAUACAGCACUCAGGUUACCCCAUUAUUGACUGCUAACAUCCAGGGGACUUGUCUUCCAACACAGCAUAGUACUUCAGGGAACACCUAUCCAACCCUGCUCAAUCUACAGGAAUAUGCCAAACAGCAGGAGAUUGCACACUGCCACAUCUCAACCAGCUCAACUUUUAGAGAUCAGACUUCUAAAGGUGACCUUCUUGAGCACACAUACAGUUGACCCUUCCCUUGUCAACUUAGCACACACAGAUGUCUCCUCUUCCAGGUCAGGAGUAGGUUCCAAACAGAAGUAUCCCUUUGUUUGAAACCUAAAAACAUCUGCUCUUCAACCAGUAGCUGCAUACUUGUUGAACAACAUGUUCUAACAUCGCAUAGAACAUUAGUUCCACCUCCUUGGAACAAACCUUCCUUGAAGGUCUUCAAGGUCUUCAUACACCCUACUCAAGUGAGUAAAAGAAUCAGUGAUUAAGUGAUUCUUACCAUCCUGAAGUGAGAACGUCAUGAUGAGUGGACUUGAGGAGACUCAAGUAUCUUUGACAUCUUCAGUAGAUUAUGAUGAAAUCUUGAAUACAGCAGCCUUUCAUCCACAUGAGGGGAAACUACAUCAGAGUUUGAGUUUUGCCAGGUAUUAUGCAGCGGAAAUCAUAAUACAACUCAACCUAUGAACACACACUUCACCAGAUCAGCCUCCAAGAACAUACCAAGUUUGAAUAUGAUUCAAUACUAGCACAACUGUCCCACACAAAGGCCAAUUGCCAACCUCCAGAGACAGGUACACACAUUUCCUGUCAUGAAUAGUCCAUCCACCUACUUCAAGGGACCAUUCAGGUAAAUCACAGAACCUUCCACAGGUUCCAACAUCAGUACUAACAUAACUCCUUGCAAGAUACCAAAAAGUAUCACCCAUGGAUCUCAUCCAAAAACAGAACAGGAUGCCUACUCUGAUACCAAUUGAAAUUCUGGUGUAGUCAGAGUUCAGAUGUUCUACUCUAAGUAAUGACAUCUGAUCCAACAUUGUUACUAAUACAACAAGACAGUUAUACAAAUUAAAACCCAGUACUGAUAUGCACACAUUCACAAAUGUCACGACAUCUGUUACUAUAUCACCAUAGAAUGGAAGAACACCCAAUUCUGUCCAUCUGGUACAAAGACACAGCAGAGAUCAACAUUGGAUGUUAUGACAUCCAAUUCUGCGCAGACAAGAAUGGUGCAGAACUUAAAUUUAAAGUGCAGUAAAUAACACAAGGAAUUGUUUACCCAGGUCGGUGUCACACACACCUACGUCUGGGGGCUACCAAGCCAGGGAGGAAAUCCACUAUUAGCAGUAUUAAUUCAGGCCUUAAACCACCUGUUUAAUCCUAUCACUUAAUACCUACCCAAUGCAAUUUCAAUCUUACACUAAGAUCAGAGUUCCUACUCACUCCCCCUCAAUCACCUCAGUGAUUACAACCUUUAAUUAGAUUAAAGUUAAUAGUGAAGUCACACUUCAAACAACUCUUGAUUGUGCUUAACAGCUUUAAUCAAGAUACACAGCACUCACGCUUAAAAGCUUAGAGUGACACAACACUUACAACUCAAUGAACACCCUAGUCCAAUGCAAUCAUCUAGGUGAUAAUUGCUUGGCUCACAAGAUACACCUAAUACAAGACACACACAAAAAUACAGCAGUGAAGUAUGAUGGAACAAUAAAAUCUUCACGCCUAAAACCCCUGAGUUCUGAAAGAAGGAUUGCCAUCCUUUUAUAUUGCAGCACUUGGGCCUUGUACUUGUAUUUCCUAAAAUUAAGGUUAAGCAAGUUAACCUAAUUUCCACAUAUUAGGGUGCUAACAAAUAGGCUAUUUGUUAGGUUCAUUAAUUGUAGCUCAGUUGUUAGUUUCCUGGAUUUUAGCUCAGCUGUUGGAUUCCUGAAGAAUAGCCUGAGAAAAAUACUGAAACAGAAAAACUAACCAUCCUACACCUUAGCAUAUGCUGUCAGGAAUGAAUGUCACAACAUUCAGUUUGACGUCCAGAACAUAGACCAUAUGCUAAGUCUGUUAUUUUCCUGAAAACAGACUGUACUAAAUGUUGUACUGUAAAAGACCAACCAGUCUAUACUUCAGUAUCAACUUACAGUAAUAAAUGUCAUAACAUCCAGUUUGACAUUUUGACAAUGAGCCUUAUGCCAGGUCUGUUAUCCUCCUGAAGAACAGACUGAAAUAAAUACUGAACUGAAGCAGAAAAACCAACCUGCCUAUUAUUCAGUAUAUGUUGUCACUGAUGAAUUUCAUAACAUCCAGUUUGACAUUCAGACAGUAGGCCUUAUGCCAGGUCUGUUAUCCCCUUGAUAAACAGACUGAAUUAAAUACUGAGUUAUAACAGACAACCAACUAUUCUAUACCUCAAUAUCUGCUGUCAGGGAUGAAUGUCAUAACAUGUAGUUUGACAUUCAGUAAAUCCUGUAUUGAAUGACUGUCAUAACAGAACAGAAAAUCAGCCUGCUGUUAGUUUCCUGAAAAUCAGCCUGAGAUAAAUAACAGAAAAACUAACUGGCCUGUCAGGAAUGAGUGUCAUAACAUUCAGUUUGACAUUCAGAGAAUGCUGUCAUGAAUGACUGUCAUAAAAGAACAGAAAAUCAGCCUGAACUAAAUACUGAACUAUAACAGAAAAACUGACUAGUUUAUAAUUCAGUAUUUGCUGUCAGGGAUGAAUGUCAUAACAUCCAGUUUGACAUUCAGUAAAUCCUGUAUUAGCUAAUCCUGCAGCGUACUACUUAAGCAUGUCAUGACAUCAGUCAAGACAUCUAAGUACAGUAAGUGUUUUAACACAAAAUGCAGCCAAUCAAAAACAUCUACAGUUAUUUUUUGUUGGAUUGCAUCCCAUUGGUCAGAUCUUUUCAACUCUUAACUUUUAAUUUGUGCUUAGGAUAAUCUCCCCAUCUCCUCUCAUCUUCUUAAAUUUUAAAAUCUCUCCCUCUUUUCAAAAGCCUUUCUUUGCUUGUGAUUUCAAACUUAGACAUUGCUUCAUAAUUAGAAACCUUGGCCUUAUGCCAAUGAAUUUUCAAACUUUUUUCUUAAAUCAAACUUGUAAAUAAACUUAACCAUAUUGACUUAAAUUUCAAAAGACAAAAGAACUAACAACUCCAUUCAAAAUUUUAGCCCUUUUUGUGCCCUUUUCUUGUUAACCUUUUGUUAAAAUUAAUUCACCAACUCAUUUGACAUUUUUACCACGAACUACGGGGUUUUGAUCCCUCAUUUUUAUGUUGGUACGUAGGCAUAAGACCGAAGGUCUUGUCAAACUCAAAAGUAUAAUCAAUGAAUUCUUUUCUCAUCCCCACACUCUAUUUUUAUCAAACAUAUUUGAUACCCAAAAACAUAUGCACACAUAAAAAAGGGCUCCCUAUGAGUACCUAGGACACUCUGGAUGCUAACACCUUCACUCUGGCAUUUUAUUAGUUUUGAUUUGAAAACUUCUUAUCUUUGGGUUUUGUUCGUACUUUUCCAUUUUCCUUUGGAAACAAUAAAAGCGCGGCGGUGACUCUGGUUUUACUGACGUCAAGUUUAUCCAUAGCUUGAUGGUCAUGAAUUUACCAAUACAUCCACCACCAACCUUCACCAAAAUAAAAAGUGUGGACAUGAUUUUAAAGGAAAAAUGCUCAGGAGCUCGAAUCUGACCUCCAUUUCUUCAAAUUCCAAGUAUAUUGAAAGAUACAUGGAUUUGAAAUUUGAGGUUCAUGAUUUGGGUUACUUCGAUUUGACCUCAAUGCAACUCAAUUUUGUUGCCUACAUUGGUAGGACUUCAGCCAACCAAAAAUCAAAGAGAAUGGUGAUGAAUUAAGAGAGAAUUGAAGGCUCAAAGUUUCUGAAAAAUCAUCUUCGGGUAGCUUGAAUCUUGCUUGAUAUUGCUCCCAAUUGGCCUUGGCUCGACUCUAGAAGCUUGUAGGAAGUGAAAUGGAUCAAAGAGAGGCUUGGAUUCUUGGAGUUUCAAUCUCAAAACAGAAGGAGAUUUGAAACUCAAUUUCUAGUGAAAUCUUCAAGUUUAUCCUUUAAUGGAGGCUAGGGAGGCAAUGGUUCAAAGCUUGGGCAAGCAGGGGUCCUCUUUCUUAUCACAAUGGCCAUGUAUUUAUAGGGUAUCAAGUUGUUUUUCACACACUUUGAAAAUUUUCCAAAUUUAGAAACUUUGGUGCAUGGAUGCAUGGGCAUUGAUUUGGGCCCAAUUCAUAAUAUGAUUACAUUCAAAUUUGAGCACAACGAAUCCUGCAGAAUUAACAUGUAAGCUAACAAGCAAAAGGAAAUGGAUAAUUGAAUUCAAAUCUUGCCAAAACAAACCUAUCAAAGGAACCAUGCACAAGUCCCUCAAUCUUGGUCCAAAUGAGGUGAUCUUGGACUUUUUGGAAAGGUGGCAUUAAGGGGAACAACUUUGAUGUUGAAAACGUUUCCAUUUAGAGCUUGGAUCAUGAUGAAUUUUGAGGUGAAAUUUUGAGAAAUCAAACAUAUUUGAAAUUUUUCUAAGUACCAAGUCAAAUGACCACUUCUUCCACCUUGAAUAACUUUUUCUAUGAGCUUCAAAUGGAAAAAGUUCCUUCAUAAAAGUUGUAUCUCUUUCAUCCCUAUUCAAGUUAGUCAUAAAUUUGACAUCAUUUGGAUUUGGCAUGAGGGAGUUAUGCAUUUUAGAAGUUGAGGAAAAUUGCUUGUUCAAUGAUGAUGGCCCAAAAUGACCUAUAAUGUUUCCUCUUGGCACAUGCCCUUGCAAGUUGAAUUUGAAAUUUCUCAAAGAAUAAAAGUUGGAGAGGACAUCUUGAAAUUGAUCAUUAAACUUAUAUGGACUUUAUCUCAUACAAAUUGAGCAGGUUAUGGUCCUUGGAAGUUGACCUCCUAACUAGGGUACAGACAAAAUGACCUAUAAUCUUUCACCAUAAAACAUGCAUUUCCAAGCAAAACUAGAUCUUUAUAUCAACAUGAAAGUUGUUUGGAAUGUCAUAAAAAGUAACUUUGCUCUUGGAAUAAUUUUUAUAUGACAAACAUUGUAGGCGAUAGGGUCUAGGGAAUCUCGGUUUUGACUAGUUGACUUUCUCUGGUCAACUUCUUUGAACCAACUUGCAAACUUGAAGUUCUCUUGAUCUUUGGGACUCAUGGAGGAUAAUAUAUGUAUAAGAUUAUGUAACAUUAAGUAUCCCUUGAAAUAUUUGAUCAAUUAUUGAAGAAACUUGCUGAGGAAGUCACAUAAGAUACCUAGAUGAAUUAGGACUUCCAAGGCAAACAAGAUUCAAACUCUUGAUGAAUUCUUGAUUAAAAUGAUAAAUGAAGAUCAUGGGGAUCCAUGAUGUUUAAAACCAAUGUGAACCAUUUCUUUAUUGAUCUCUAGUCAUGAGGGUCUCAAACCCUAGAUGUGAGCUUGAUGAGGCAUAGCGCACACUACCUACAAAAGAAACACAGCUAUAUAUAAACAUAUUUUUGGUAUUUUAGUUAGUAAACAAAAGAAAAUAAAGUAUGAUACAAUCAAAUAUGCUUGGUGAUCUCUCCUAAUGUAAACCCAAUGAAUGAGGGGUAAGGUGGAUACCAAGGUGUGAUCUCAAAGCCAAUGCAAAUGAUGAGAUAACAUGAGGGAUCUUAGGGUCAAAAUUAGGGUCUUACACUUAUCACCACCGUGUUUGUGGACCAUUGGGACAGGGGGUUGAUCCCCCCAUGACCCCAAGGUCAGGGGUUCAACCCCCAACAUGUGCAAACCCUCAUUUAUUUUUCACUUAUGUUAUUUUUAUCCAUUUAUUUUUUAAUUAUCUUCCAUAUUGCUUUAUUUUGUAACCCUUUCAUUUUUAUUAUUUUGAAAAUAUUUUUAACAUAAACUCCUAUUAUUUUUGUCUCUAUAGUUUAUUAGUGACUUGUUUUAUUUCAUUUGAGUUAUUUUUUAUGGACUUAUGAAGUCUUGAACUUAUGGACUAAUGAAAUCUACUUAGGUCAUGACUUGUUUGGUUUAGGGUUGAUUAAAACCUUCCAUACUUCAAACCUAACAUUAGAUGAUCAAGUGUUCAUCCAUGGUACUUUGAAUCAUGGAUAUGUUGCCCCUACUUAAAAUAACUUGGGUCAUUUGACUUGUGGAUGAAGUCUUGCUUGCACUUGUUAACUUAUCGAUUCAUCUGAUACAUUUAUGUUUCCUUUUGGUUUAUAAUAACCCACCAACCCUUUACUAACUUGUUUAUAUCAUACACUAACCCUUUAUUAUCUUGUUUAUAUUAUGCCUUGUCCAUAUAACUUAACCUAACUUUACUAACCUUUGAUUAUUACUAACCUUUUGUUAUCAUUAUCGUUGUUAUUAUUCAUUGUUAUUUACUUUUAUAUCAUCUACAUUUAAGUCAUCUUCAUCAUCAUAUUCAUUAUAUAAACUUUAUCAUGCAUGUUUAUUAUCUUGUCUUUACCUUAUUGUCAUCAUACACUUAAAAACAACAAAAAAAUGAUAAAAUUAUAAGACCAAAAACAAUCCAUUGCACCUUAAUCCACUUGGACUUAGAGGAUCUUUGCUUGGAUGCCUUUUCCAUUACUUCUUGUGAUACUUUAUUUCAAACUUUGGGUUUCAUUUGUACUUACAUACAUGUUGUAAGAAUGGCAUCAUGGAACCAUAUUAGGGGGACAUGUUUAUAAGAUCAUUAUCCUUUGUUUAGCUUAGGUCUCUUUUGCACACACAAGGCUUUCUCUUAGGCUAUCUUACAAUGAGACCUUUUACUUUCUUGUUGGUUACUUUGCAUUCAUGUUCCAUAAGCCAAAUUUCUCAAUCAAAUAAACAAACCCUUGAUUCAACGUCAAACAAUUUUUUCUUAAAUAAAUUCAAAACUCUUAAUAACUAUGAUUAGCAUUGUAUGCCACGAGCCUUAAGUGGUGGAGAAUGGAACAUUCCUACCCUCACUUUGAUUAUUUUGGAUGCAUGACACUUGACUUGUUGUCUAGAAUAUUCACCUCCGUCCCUAGACUUUAGUGCAAUCUAAUCACAAACAUUCUUUUUAUAAACCCUUGUUUAAGGUAAAAUUAACACAACCCAUAAAACCUAAUUUUUAUGACUUAUGGAACCCACCCCGAAAACCCUUUUCUCAAAGGUAAAAUCAAUUCACGCACAAACAUUUUCUACUCCGAACUACGGUGCUCUGAUUCCUCAUCCCUAAUGAGUGAUACGUAGGCACAAGGGCCACAAUCCUUGGCAAACACAUUAAUAAAAAACCUAAAACUCCUCUCUUUCACACACAUUCUCUUGAAAAUAAAACAAUAAUGAGACAAAUCUUCAUGUACAUAAACAACCCAAAUGGUUCUCAUGGAAUGCCAUGGACGUGAGGGGUGUUAAUACCUUCCCCUUGCAUAAUUGACUCAUGAACCCAAAUCUCGAUUGUGAGACCGAUUACUUAUCACAUUCUAGAACUUCCUAUGCACGUAUCUUUUCAAUGGGUUUUAUCGACUAUUUCCCCUCGCCUUUCCGAUAGAGGCACACAAAUAAAAUUCGAUGGCGACUCUUCUGUUUUGACUUCUCUCUUCGAUUGAGGAGGCAUCCAUUAGUUCAAAGUCCCGAUUUUCAUUAUCGUGUGAAAUCCCGGUAGCGACAUGCAUAUGACAUGUUACAAUGGCUCUGCAGACUUCUUUUGUACUAUUCCCUUUCUUUUGUGUAGGAUUUUUUGAAUUGAGUCUUAUCGAGGAUGACUUAUUUUCCCGAGCUGACCUCCCACGUCUUUAACAUAUGAAAAUAACCGACUUCUCUGAAAUAAUAUUUCAAUGUCUUUCUUCAGUUGGUGACAAUUUUUUGUAUGGCGUCCUCAAAGUUUGUGGUAUGCAUACCAUUCACUUUCGUCUUUUCCCAUCAGAGUGCGCGCCCCUUUUGGGACCACCGACCUGGGGAGCAAUUUGAGGUGAUAGACCUCCUUUAAAAUGUCUCCGCGCAUAGCAUUCAGUGGAGUGUAAUCUUGCUCUUUAUUGAAUGGUCGUCGGGAUGGUCUUGCUAUUGGUCAAUCUUUGGGUCCUGGCUUAAAGUCUUUCUCUUUUUCAUCUCGAGAUCUUUUAUCCAUAUUACUUUCUUAUGAUAACCUCAUCCAUGUUAGACGCCGGUUUUUAUGCUAAAGAUUUAUUAAACUGUUCGGCCUUAAGGUCACGCUAAAAUGCUCUGACGAACAUUUCUUGAUUCAUAUGAGAUAUCUUAAUUGUUUCUUCAUUGAAUCUUGUCAUAUACUCUCGGAGAGACUCUGCGUGCCCAUGUCGGACACUAAAUAAACUAGAGGUCGACAUCCCUCUAUGCUUACUUGUCGAAAAGUGUUGUACCAUCUUUUUGGUCAAGUCUUGGUAGCUGAUGAUCGAGAACUGGGGUAAACUCAUAUACCACCUUAAAUCACCUUCCAGAAAGUUCCUGACCAUGAGCUUACAUUUGAGUGAAUCAAAAGCUCCUAUUAUAACCAUCUGAUUAUUAAUGGCAGUAAUGUGUUGUUGUGGAUCAGUCUUACCAUUGAAAGACACUAAUGAUGGUGACUUGAAAUUCUCCGGGACCUGAUCAUCCCAGAUAACUUCAGAUAAAGGUUGAGGGUCUAGAGGCUCCUCCUUUGUAUCUCCAUCUUGAAGACUUUGUGUUUGCAAGACUUGGACGCUGUCUUGCAAGGCUCCGUUUUGCUGACAAAGUGCUUCUACCACUACGAGCAAUUGAGUUAUAUCUGGCCGUGGAGGUGGGACACUUCGAUUGGGAGAUGAUCCUGACAUCGUUCGGCUGAAGUAUUAACGCUUUGAUGAUGGUUUUGUGUGGCCUGGACAAGUUUUACCAAGGCCCCACGGUGGGCGCCAAAUGUUCUUGCUAAAAAACACUAAAAGACUGACUUCCUUGUUAUAGUUCAAGGAUAGCCUAAAAUGAAUGGUUGAAGUGUUCGUUAUGUGAGAUUUUGUUUUGUUUUCUGUCUGCCUUCUACCCUCAAAAUAUCCUUUUAUUUAUCAGUCUCCUUCUUCCCAUGUCUGAUUCUCCAUAUCCUUGAUAAAUUCUCCUUAUAAUUUCUUUUUAAUGGUCGCCUCUUCAAUAAUUAUAACUCCCUUCUAUAAUGUAUCAUAUUGUAACUGUCUCUUGUGACCCUUCAAAUGACAUACGGGCCUUGUCAUCGGGCCCGACUUGUACUGAUGAGAUCAUUCUCGAUUUAUAAGGUUAUCACGUCAAUCCGGCCUUAAAUAACUCAAAUGCUCAAGUAGGCUUUGUCGACCUCCUAUCUCGGUUGGUCAACUAAUUUUUCGGGAUGUAUAAAUAUAAUAAAUUCAAUUGUAUAUAUCACCUCGUUUAAAAUCUACAAUUGUGGUGAAAUGUGAUGUGCCAUUUUAAAAUGUCAAAAAGCCAUCGUUGGAUAUUGAACUCAUAACCAUUCCACUUUUCACUACGGUCGGAGAAACCAACCGUAGUGAAAUGUGACGCGAUAUCGUAUUUUUCACAACAACCCCUAACCCUUGGUGGAAAGUAUAUGCACUUAUUAUCAUACUAUUCAUUAUCACGAACCUUCAAUCAUAAUAAUUUUUUCUCCCGACCAUGAUAAUAGAUAGUUUUCGUAAUAGUGAUCAUACACAUAGUCCAUGUCUACCUUGGGGCCAAACCUAGAAAUUUGCAUCUAUACACUAAAAAUCUUGUAAUACUUAUUACAAGUCAUGUUGGGGCCAAAACUAUAAGUUUACAGCUACAAACUAUAAAUCUCUUAAGGGUAAUGCUAACUUGUGCCCUUGGGGCACAUGUUAAGAAACCCACAAAUAGAAAAUUUGUUUUGGAAAAAUAAAUAAAAUUAUUAAUGAUAAAUUUUUAAUAAAUUCAAUACACAUUUUCCAAGAAUUUAUUUCUAUAUUUAUCUCUUAACUUGUGCCCUUAGGACACAAGUUAGCAUUACCCAUCUCUUAAUACUUACAAACCACUUCAGUAGACCAAUGAAGUCAUAAAGAUAGAGAUUUAAAGAGGUGAUUUGAAGAGACACAUAUAACAAGCUCACUUUAGUUCUAAAACUAAUGCUAAUAGCAUUUUGAGUACAAAGUAAUUGUGAUCAUUUUAGGAAACAACAAUAGUGGAUGGAUGCACAAUACCAAUUGAAACAUGAAUAAAAUAAAAGACAUCAGUUGUCUUGCACUGCAUAAUUAGCUCCAUCGCACUCCCAUGCACACACUCACCAGAACAACAACAAUCAUAUCAACAAUACCUGCAAAUAAAUAUUAAACUUCUUGCAUAGUUUAAUAUGGAAGACAGUUUAUCUCGGUAUAACCGAAUGUUUUAAAUUGUUGCAUAAAUUUUUUUGUAAUUUGGAUCGAUAUAAAUAUUGUGAUAUUAAUUACAAUCAUAAUUAUUUUUUACUGUCAUUUUUGACAAUCACACAUAUUCCUUUAUUCACAAUUUACUAUAGUUAUAAUUAUUAUAUUAGAGCCAAACAUCUCACUCAAAUCUUAAGAUUCAUGUUCUUUCAUAAAACUUAACCGGCAAACCAUCUAUAAAUGUGGCAGAUAGACCCGGUGCAAACCGUGGCUCCGGAUUCGGUCCAACAACCCGAACAUCAAACCGUCUAACUAAAGCAGCAGCAACACACUUCAUCUCUACAAUAGCCAAUUCCUUUCCCAAACAAAUCCUCACACCAGCUUGAAAAACUGGAUACUUAAAAGGACAUUUUGGUACAAACACACCUUCUCUCAACCAUCUCUCCGGUUUAAAUUCCAAAAAAUCGGGUCCCCAAAUGCUCUCCAUCCGACCCAUCGCAUAAGGAUGGUAAGUAACCCGACUUCCCUUUUUUAUAAAAGUUUCAUCCGGUAAUACGUCAUCCUCCAAAGCAAACUUUGAAUCGAAUUGAACCGGUGGAAAAAGCCUCAUACUCUCAUGAAUCGCUCCAUUUAGAUAAUGCAUCUCACGCGUCUGUUCAAAAGUAGCAACUUCCUGAACCGGGUUCAUUAACCGGUCUAACUCAACCCGAAUCUUUUUCUCAACUUCCGGGUUCUUAGACAAUAACAUGAAAAACCCGGUUAAUGCGGAAGCGACCGUAUCACGACCGGCCAAAAGAAAACUAACUACAAUAUCUCUUAAAUAUUCGUCUUCGUUUGAAUUCAAAAAACCCAUAAAACGUGAGAGAAGAUCUUUUCGCGAGUCACUUCCAAUUUCAAUUUCUCGUCUUUGUUUUAUCAUCUCUUUUGCCAUGUCGUUCACUACUUUAAUGGCUUCUUUGAGCUUCUUCUCUGACCCAACGUUGAAGAAACGUUUCAUCUUCCAUAUUAAGGGUGACGCGUUCGUCGCUCUUUCAGCUGAAAGCAUUGAUGCAAGAUCAAAAGCAUUAGCGAGCUUUGAAACUGGAAGUGAUGGAACAAGACAACAUGGGUCUAAACCAAAUGAGAAUUUACAAAUGUUGUCGAACGAGAAUCUUCUAAGAAUAUCUUGCAUGUCUAAAAAAUCAUCAUCUUUCUGAUCCGUUUUUGAAGCUAUGAGAGGAAUGAGCCUAGUUUGGAUUUCCUCUGUGACAAGUUCCAUAGCAUAGGAAUGAAUCGUGACGCUGCCAAGUUCAAGAGACGCCAUUUUCCGCUGAAACUUCCAUGUAUCACCGUCGACGUUGAAGAUGCCACGACCGAGAAGAUCGCCUAGAAUUGUGGAAAACGGUUUCCCUUUAGGGUAGUUAUUGAAAUUUGUUUUGAGGAUGUAUUCGACAUUUUCAGGAUUUGCUGUUAUGGUGUUACCUAAGACAUGGACAUGGAUUGUUCCUGUUGGUGAUGUUUGAAGAAGAUGUGUGUAGUAGUCGCAUACGUUUAUGAAGUUUUUUGACCAACUCAUUGUUAAGCAUGUUUUGCAAGUGUUGCAGUUACACCAUGGUUUUAUUCUUGAGAUAUAGGUGAGAAGAGAAAAGACUGAAAAUAGAAGGGUGAAAGAGGAGAAGAGGAAAGUGAAGGUAGAUUGAAGAGAAAGAGCAUCUUCAAAAUUCAUUUUGGGAAUAUGAUGAGAGUACGUAGAAUGGUCAAUAUAUAUACAAUAAGUUUUGGUUCACUAUUAUUGUUGGAGGGUUGUUAAUUAUCAACUAUUAAUAUAAUAACGAAUACAGUGCAAAACAAAAUAAAUAUCGUUUUCAUUGUGCAAUGGUUUUGAUGUUUUCUUUAUUAUUAGAAUAGAUGUACUAUGCAACGGAGAAACAAAAUUAACUGUUAUUGUUAUGUUUUUGUUAAAUAAAAAAUAAAGACUGACACCACCAGAAACUAUGUUUGUGGAACUAGACUUAGAACUAUACUUAGAACAUUUACAAUGGAGUAGUUACAAAAUUAUUAAGUAAUAGGAUGUUGUAAUAGGAUGUUGAAUAGAAUGUUGUAAAUGAGGUGGAUUAUUUGGUGUUCGAAAAGAUCUAACACAUUGAAUGAGAAGGGGAUGGGACCGCGUAAAAUAUUUGGCAAAAUUUUAUGGACGGCUUUUUUCAAAUUUUUAUCUCAUCCUAAUUAUUUAGGUUCAAUUAUUUCAUUGUAAAUAAUUUUUUUCAUCAAAAUUCAUUAUUUUUUUUGUCUAUAAAUAGAGAUUUGGUUUAUUUGAUUUGGACAUAGAAAAAAAGUCGACUUUUUUUCGUCUAAUUUUUCUAUUUAGCCUUCAAUAAACUCUUGUUUGUAGCUCUAAACAUAUUUUUAGUGAAAUGGAUCCCAACAAUAACCCUUUUAACACCCAACUACUACUUACCCUUUCAACUACCCAAAUCCCAACAAUUAGAGAUUUCAAAAUUAAUCUUCCAACCAACAAGGUCCCCAAAAUAUACCAAAUUAUGGAUUUCCUCCAAAUUUUAUCAUGUCGUCAUCUAAUUCAAAUUAUUGUCCGUAUUAUGGAUUAAUGAUGUCAUAUUCAUCUCAAGCACCACUUAUUAUUCUUCUACUCCAAUGGGAAAUAAAAAUGUUUCGAAUAUUGGACUUGAUGAAUUUCCUGAAUUUUCUACACAAAUGACUCUUGGUGGCAUGAGUGGUGGUCAUGAAGCCACUGCAAAUGCAGAGGAUUCAACUUUUGCUCGCUGAAAAAUCCCCAAAUGGAUCAGUGAUCAAAAUUUGGUUCUAAUUAGUGGUGGAUUAAAUAUGGAACAAACAGUGUUAUUAGUAGAAACCAAAAAAGUGAUUCAUAUUGGGGUAAAAUUGUUGAUUACUCUAAUAAGCAUUGCUCAUUUGAUCCUCCAUGGAAUGAGGUCAUGUAUCAUAUUGCAUAGUAUGAUUGUUGAGGAUGAACGAGAUACAUAUGCUCAACAUUUGACAUAUUAUGAUCAAUCUGAGGCAAGUGGGUUUAGUACACCAGAGUCAUUCUCAACCGAGGUGUUACCUGCAUUUGAGAAUCAUGUGCGUGUUAGACCUGUGAUGCGUAAUUCAAAUGUAAAUCACGAAUUGCAAGCAUGUCUAGUCAAACACAUAUGGGCAAAGUUCAAAAUAUUUUGUUUGUCAGUUGGAUCUAUUGUACUAAUUAAGUUAUGUGUGUUUCAUUUUAGGUUUGUUUUGUGCUUAAUGUAUUGUAUUUCAUUUUAAGUUUUUUUUAAUUUUAUUAGUUUUAAUAAUGACUAUCCAUAUAUCUCGUCUUUAUUACUUGCAAGAAAAAAAAUUAAUUAAGAAUAUAAAGUUAGAAAAAUAAAAUUUAAAUAAGUUAUUUAGUUAGAAUAAAAUAAAAUAUUUAACUCUUAAUUAUUUUAAUUUUAUUUCAAUCGAUAAUUGUUAUUCAUAUAUAAUCACAAAAAUAAAAACAUAAAAAGAUAAGAAUAUGAAAUAAAAAUGGUGGGGUAGGAUGUUGAAUUUUAUUAAACAAAACCAUUCUAAUGAGUAAAAGAUGAAUGAGUGUACUAUUAGGUGGAAGAGAGAGAAGGUGAUGUGGAGUGUAAAAAGUGAAAAACGAGGAUGUUCAAUAUGUAAAUCAUUAUACAUAGUAAUAUGUUUAGGCAUUAUUCUAUGUUGCAACUUAUUAACUUUUUCUCUUAAACGAGUAUUCCUAUUUAUUAAGUAAUUUCUCAUCCAUUCACACAUUGUUUAAAUUGGUUUGUCUUUACCAAUUAAAAUUGUGCCAUUAAAGGCUUCAGACAAAUUAUUUAUUAGUUUAUCAUAUUUAGGAUAAACAGAAAAUGCAUAUGCUUACAUCAUGAUUUAGUAGGUAUUUUAGAUAGUCAUUCCCAAAGCCUUCACAUUAAUAACAAUCUUCAAUUCUUUCAUCUUAGCAUCUCGGACUUAUAUUGAGCAAGGUCCUAUCAUCAAGUCUCUAAUAAUUGUAUCUCCUCCAAUUUUUUGGUUUGAAAUUAGCAUAUAAAUGUCUAAGAAAGAGCAUGUGCUUAACCCUUUGUUAGCUAGAAUUUUCGACAAGAUUAAAAAAUCUCAGCAUAAUGAGAAGACUUGAAAAAGUUGAGAGUUUAAAUGGACAUUUGAAGACAUGUUAUAUUAAAGAAGUCGAAGUCUCAAGAUGAGAGAUAAAAAGUGGGACUUAGUAUUUUUCAGAAAGAAAAAAAACGAGUAUUUCCUUUAGCACCUCGACGACAUUGUUGCUCAGGUUUUUUACGACAGCAAGAUGCAUCGACCAACAACGUAGAGAGAAACGAGUUUCAAUGAGCAAAUGUAUGAAUCUUGAAACAUCAUUUCUAUUCAAAUUUCAAGCUUUUUACUUCUUUUUAUAUUUUUUACAAAUCUAUUUUCAUUUCUCUUUUAAGUUCAUUGUCACUUUACAUUCGCUUUUACAAAGUUCUACCUUUUAACAUUGUCACAAACACUUACAUUUUUAAACAAUCUUCUUUUUACAUUACUUUUUCUCAAAGAUUUUGACCAAGUCGAAACCCAUCACUUUUCUACACAAAGCUAUAAAAAAUAUUUUAGCACUAUGUCCUCGGAUUAUCUGGUUGAUCCUGUAAGUAACCUUCAAUAAGAAACUAUCACUUGUUUACCAAAUUUCACAAUAAACAAAUUGGCACGCCCAGUAGAACUUGUGCUAAAAUUCUUAAUAAUAAUAUAUAUAUAUAUAUAUAUAAUAUUUUUAUAUUAUACCAUAGUUUUGUCUUAUAAAAAUUGUUCUACGUACAUGAAAUUGACGUACAUGAAUUGUUCUAAAUAUUUUGUAUGCGUUUAAGAAGUGGAAAAUCUUUACCAAAAAUGAUGCGUCCUUCUAUGGAUAAUCUCAUUUCACAUAACAAUGUUCAAAAUAUAGUGAAACAACCAGUCCGAUUGACGGUUGAAGAGGCAGUUGUUUCAACGUCCGUUAGAACUACUGCUCAUGUGGCAUCGUCAAUGCUAGUUGCACCAAUACCGUCAUAAGGGAUGGCACCUGCACCACAGCCAGGAAAUACCCCAUUUAACCCUAUAGUUGCAAGACCACUGUUUGGUUUUUCAAUGUCAAUGAAUAAUAGGGAUUACCCUUAUGGCAUGCCAACGUCAAUGUUUGUUGGAAUUCAUACUAAUAUGUCGACAUAUAGCGACAAUGCAAACAAAACAAAAAUGGUUCCCUCCCUUACACUUAAGUCACACAUUGUCCUCAAUAAAAGAAUAAAGAUAUAAUAUAAGAGUGGGAGAAAGGAAGAAGGGCUCCCUGAUCAAGUUGCCUUGCAGGUUGACAUUUUUCCUACAGAUAAAGUUAUUUAUGCAACUGAAGCUCUCGAUAUCCCGACUGCCCCAACCAAAUUGUCCAUUGAACAACCACCUUCCUUAGAGCUUAAACCAUUUCCUGAUAAUCUGAAAUAUGCAUUUUUAGAGAUGAAUGAAAAGCUACCGGUAAUAAUUUCAUCUAACCUUAACUUUAAUCAAGAAGCGAGCAUUCACAAUUUUUGAAGAUGCAUAAGAAGGAGAUUGGGUGGACCUUAGCUGAAUUACCGUAUUAGCCCCUCCAUGUGUAUGUAGAGGAUUUUUCUUGAAGAUGGUGCUAAAGCAGUGAGGUAGACCCAAAAAAUACUUAACCCUUUAAUUCUUGAUGUUGUUAAGAAUGAGAUAACCAAGUUUUUGCAAGCAGGUAUCAUAUAUCCUAUCUCUUACAGUAAUUGGGUAAGUCUAGUACAGGUGGUACCUAAGAAAUCUGGCCUUGUAGUGGUAAGAAAUGAAAAAACGAACUUCUUCCCACUAGAGUUCAAAAUAGUUAGAGAGUUUGUAAUUAUUACAAGAGAUUGAACCAGGUAACCAGAAAUAAUCACUUUCCUUUACCAUUCAUUGAUCAGAUGCUUGAACGAUUGGCUAUUAAAUCACAUUAUUGUUUUCUUGAUGUUUUUUCAGGUUACAUUCAUAUCCAUAUUGCACCCGAGGAUCAAUAAAAGAUAAUUUUCACGUGCCCAUUCAGUACAUUUUCUUACAGGAGGAUGUCAUUUGGUAUAUGCAAUGCUCCUGGCACGUUCCAGCAAUGCAUGGUUAGUGUUUUUACUGAAUUUAUUGAAAAUUUCUUGGAAGUGUUUAUGGAUGACUUUACUGUUUAUGGUUCUUCAUUUGAUGCAUGCUUGAAGACUUUGGAUAUGAUUUUAGAAAGAUGCAUUGAAACUUUGAUACAUUUGACGUCACUUUCAACUUUGAUGAUGUCGCUACGCGAAAAAUACAGAGUCGCCAUCGAAUUUUAUUUAUUCCAAAGGAACAGGAAAAUAUCGAGAAAACCCCAAAAGAUGGUCAUCACAACCAUGAACAGGUUAGAAAGUCGGCUAUGCAAAAGAAAUGUAUUAACACUCCUCACAUCCAUUGUACUCGAUGGGAACCAUCGAGGAUGUAUACGCUUGAAUGGGUGUCGUUAUCUUAACGCUUAUUUGCUAAAGUUUACGGAGUGAAAAUGGAUUUUUUGUUAGUGUGCUCGCCAAGGGUUUGGCCCUCUGUAUACGUGCGUUUUCGACGCCAUGAGAUUUGGUGUGCAGAAUGGUUCUUUCGACAAAUGAAGGCAUGGGAUAAACGGUUUUUUGGUUGAUAAGUGUUGUUCGACACUUCGACAAAAUGGAAGCUUUGCUUUGAUAUUUCGACAAGAUAUCUGCAGAAGGAAAGGCACCUUCGACGGACAUGAAGGAUGUUGUAGUAUUUUGACAACUCGACAAAGUCUGGAGAGAGAUGUCAUUUCGACGUAAAGUGUAAAUACUCAAAUUCAGAAGAGUUGUGACGUUUGGCAGAAGACGCGUGGAAGCAUCUGGCGAAAAGAAGAAAGCCGUUUGUCACAGUUUUAAGAUUGGGUAGUUAGUAACGGUUAUGUUAUUUGUAUAUAAAUAGGGUAGUUGUUGUCUGAAAAAGUGGUGUGAAGAAUUACUUAUACAAAAUUCCUGAAAAUACUCAAAGUACCCGUGUGAGAGAAAAGAGUCAUAUUUGGAACAUGUAUGUGUAAACAAACACCGAUUCCUUCAAAGUUUAUUUUAUAAAAUUCAAAGUUCUUUACAAAUUCCUUUUAUGUUUUCCAGUCAUUUAUCUUUCUGCACUUUAUCCUUUUCGACACUUUACAUUUCAUCAGUUAUUUUCCGCCAUUUACUUUAUCUUGUUAAAUUUACAUCUACUUAACAUUUUAAUCAACAUAUUUCGACAUAAAACACUGAGAGAACAGAAAUGAAAUAUACAAAAGUGAUUCUAGACAUCUUCAAGACCAUCUAGAUCUGCACAUGUCCUAGGAUUUGUGUGGUUGAUCCUGCAAGUAACCCAAUUCUAUGACAUCUUCAAGACCAUCUAGAUCUGCACAUGUCCUAGGAUUUGUGUGGUUGAUCCUGCAAGUAACCCAAUUCUACAAGUUUUGGUAAACCAGAGGUUGUUCGCCAAAAUUCACAGCGAACACCCUCGUGCCUACGUAUGCUCACUUGUUGAAGUGAGAAAUCAGAGCCUCGUAGUUCGUGGUAUAAAUUUUUUGUUUGUUUUGUUGAUUUUAUAACUUGAAAAAGGAUUUUCAGAGUGAUGCCUUAAGGCGCAAACAAAAGGUUUGAUGAGUUGAUGUUUGUUUUUAGGUUUGAAAAGAUAGUGUUCUUGACUCCGGAUUGCACUAAAGACUACGGGCAAAGGUGAAUAUGUCGAACUACCAAGUCAAGCGUCUUGUAUCCAAAAUACUCAUAAUGAGGGUAGGGAAGCGCCAUUCUCAUCCCUUAUCUACCACUUAAGACUCGUGACAUACAAUCCUAAUCGUAUUUUAUGAUAUUUUGAAUUUGAUUUGAUAAAAUACCACUUGACGUUGGAUGAAGGAUUUAUUUAUUGUUUACGAAACGGUGACGAUCCUAACUCCUAAGGUUGGUUAACAAGCAACAAUAAGACAAAGGAAAGUGAGUAAAAUGUACACGAAAAUUAGGAGAGGGAUACAUGAAAAAUACAAGGGAUUUGUGCGAUAAAUAAAUGGGUCUCGUUGUAAGGUGGCCCAAGAGAAAUCCUUGUGUGUGCAUUGUGUCAUAAGCUAACAAGCGAAUAAUGGAAUUACAAAGCAUGUCUCCCUAAGGUAGUGCCAUAAAAGCUCUCUUGUAAUGAAAGAUUACAAGUCCAUAAUGCUCCAAGUUGCAUAGGUCAAUCACAUUGGUCCAAGGUCCAAGCAAAGGUACAAACGAGUCAUCUAAGUUUCCAAGCUUAGGUCAUACACAAGGUCCAUAUGAUCCAUAAUACUCCAUGUCUACUUCUAAGGUAAAACAUCAAGUCCAUAGUCCAAUAGUCCUUAAAUUAGGUCUUUUUAGUAUUUUCCAUUUUAUCAUAUUUUUGUUCGUUUUAGAUUAGAUAACAAGAUAAAGAACAAUCGAGAAAUAAAAUGAUAUGAAGAUAAGGUGCAUGAAUGCUAAUGGACAAGAAAAGAAUGAUUACUUGAGACAAAUCAAAGGACUCAAAAUAUAGGGCAUUAAGGGAUAACCAUAAAUGAUUCAAAGUGUUGAAAAUGAUCCAAUGAUCAUUUAUCGACAUGUUUGAAUCAAAGAAGAUUGAAUCAACUGAAACAUCCAUCUAUCAAUAAAUUGAAGUGUGAAAGAUCAAUCAAUCAAACUAUCAAAAAAUGAAUAAAAGUUGAGAUAAAGAAUUAAAAGUUAGUAAUUCGAUGUUAAUUUGCAUAAAUAUAUAAUUAGGGAUAGUUCCUAACAAAAUAAAAUCUAAUCAAACCUAAUUAUCUAAUCAUCAACACCUUUAAACAAAUCUAAAAUUCUAAUUAUCCUAAUAUCUAAAAUUCUAAUUAUCCUAAUAUUCUAAAGUGCUUAUUCAGAUAAGCAGCAACACGUUUGGAGCUACAGCUUUCAUCUUCGCCUCCUCUCAUCAUCAAUCGCGGAAGAAAAAGCUCCUCACGUUGCAUCACAAUGUCCACGCGAUUCAAUGUUCUAAACGCUUCAGGAAAACACAACUGCGAUGUCGGGGCAAGCUCGAUUAUUCUUCAUCAGACGCGAAAUUGAGGAUGGAAAAAUGAAGAACACGACUUCGAAUUGCAAUCCUUCUCUAAAAUCAACAUCAGUAUCCAAACAUGAGUCAUCAUUUGCAUGCCUAAAAACAGAGAACACGAAAUUGAAAUUGAAGCGAGAAUCUCACCGGAUGGAAGCUUCGAUGCGAAUAAGUAUGAAUUCCCUCCCUUCGAUUUCAAUUUUCUUAUCUUCUUCUUCCUCCUCUGUUUGAUUUCGACUUGCGGUAGAGUUGCGAUGAAUCAUUCCGAGAGAUUGUUGUGUGACUUGAGAUUCAGCUUUAAGAAUUUGUGAAUUAUGGUGGAUGAGUGAAUGAACAGGUACAAUUCUGCAGAUCGAAAAAAUGAGUGGGAAAUUUGGUGAGAAAUUGAGUAGUAAAAAAUGAAAUGUGAGGGUUUAUGUUUGAUUUAAAGAAGUGUGCAGAAAAAAAUGAAAGGGAAUCGAGAUUUACAGAUUAAAAAAUGAGAGGGAAUCGAGAGAGAGGUUUUGAAUGAGGAAUGUGGUUUAAAUAUAGUGAGGUGAAUUCACAGUGAGAAAGUUAUGUUAGUUUAGAAUUCUGUUAGAAGGUUGUUCUAGGAUUGAAUUCAAUUAUGAGUUUGAAACUCUGUUAAUAACUGUAAUAAAACUGUUAGGUUGUUUAGGAUUGAAAAUGGAUCCUAUUAUUUUCUGUUAGAAUUAUUGUUAAUUUAUGUUACUUUUGUUAUCAUGCUUGGAUAUGAAUGUUAGUAAAUGGAUUAGAAAUCAAUAAAACUUGUUAUGUUAGGACUUGCUGGAUUUCUGACUUGCUAUGUAGUCAAGGCAAACAUGGAAGGUUAGGGAAAUUAAGUUAGCUUUGGAUGAAUUAUUUUGAUAGUUAGUUGUUGAUUUUGUUAGAACUGUUAUGUGAAAAUUUUAGGUAUGUUAUACGUUUCAUGAUUCUUGGCUAGUUAACAUGUUAUUAAAAUGCAACCUAUGUGACAAUAUCAUGAAUGUGAAAUGUACAUCUGAUGUUAUUGAAUGCUUGAAAUUCUGUUAGUGAGCUUGUAUGCUUGAAUGAAAUGGUUAUUGAAUCGUAGACUGUUUUUCUUGGAGGAUGGGUUAUGUGAUUGGAUGGAGGGAGGCAUGACCAAAUGGAAAUGUAUAAAGCAUAGGAGAUCAAUGACGGGCUUCCGAAAUUCCAAGCUUCUUCCCUUUUGAUACGAGCUAUAUAAAUAGCACGGGAUGGUGCUAACAUGAUGUAAUAAUAUUAGGACAUGGAUUAGCUUAUCUUCUUAUGCUUGUAAUGGAAAAAAAAAUCACUUAUAAUCAUUUAUGUCAAAAAAAUGCUUAUGUAAUGCAAUUUAAAUUGUGAUUCUUUUGAAAGUGUUGUCGCCCGAGGUGAAUGCCUCGUAAGCUUCAAUGUUUCAAAGGGAUCUAUGACUCUAAGAACCUUUUAGAACAUUGGAUAUUUUUGGUCAA